UUGAAUUUACUUGUCUUGGGACAUUCCUUUUCUAGGUCAGCCACAAAGACCAUCAUUACUUUAACGGUGUAAGGCUCUACAUCUUUCACCGUCUUAGGAUCUUCAAGUUGAGGCAAAGAUGGCUUAAACUUUAGGUGAGCUGAAGCCAAAUCCAGAAGGGUUACAGAUGCAAAAAGAAUGGUAAAGCAUACCAAUAGCUGAACUCUUGCCAUUAUUUUUUUUUUUUUUUGGUUUUAAGAUUAUUCUUUUUUUUUUUUUAGAAAUUUAUUAUUUAUUUUGGUGAGGAAAAGAUUGAUGAAUGAAUUAUUUAUGGGAUUCUUGGUCUGCUUUUAUAGUUAAGUUUUUGUGUUCUAUGUUUAGAAUUAUUGACCCGCUGAUCACUGAGAGUUUUGGGGAACAAGGUCUAAAUAAUAGUAAAGAGUUUCAUGGUUCUUAGCUCUUUUAGUUGUCCAUUAAAAUCUAUAGUUAUUGUUGCUUUUAUAAAAUAAAAUAUUCACAAUAUUAUUAGAUAAAUUUAGUACUUAUAUAAUAUAAGAUCCUAGAAAGUGGGUUUCCUAUAUUUGGAUAAUUGGAGAUAAUAUUGGCCACGGUUAUGAAAUUUCUUUUGUACAGUAUUAUUAUUAAGAAUUGAAAAAAUAAAAUAUAUAGAAAAGAAAAUAAAUAGCAAUAUUUCAGAAGAUAUUAUAUUAAAGAGAGUGGACUUUUUUUUUGAAUAAUCAAAGAGGUUUUAGACAUAUUAGUUUUUGUGUAAAGCUGUCUUAAACAUUUUUUUAUUAAAGUUAUUAAGGAUUAGGCAUGUUAUUAAGACGAAUCCAAAACAUACACUAAUAGAUUAAGGACAGUCCUGGUUAAGUGCCUAAUCCUUAAAAGAGACAGUCAUGAUAACUUGUUUAAGCCUAUGGCAAUAUGUUCAUCAAUGGUCAUAUACUCCUUGUUGUGACAUAGUCCCUAGUCUAUUGAUGAACGUAGUGGUACUAUUUUUUAAUAUAUGUAUAUAUUUCGGUGAUUAAACAGAAGUAAACUUUUUUUUUUGUGGCACUAUUUUUUAUUAUAUGUAUAUAUUUCGGUGAUUAAACAGAAUGAAAUUUUUUUUUGUGGCACUAUUUCUUAAUAUAUAUAUAUAUAUAUAUAUAUAUAUAUAUAUAUAUAUUGUAGAUUAAACCGAAGUAAAUUCUUUUUUUGUGGUACUAUUAUUUAAUAUAUGUAUAUAUUUUGGUGAUUAAACAGAAGUAAAUUCUUUUUCUUUCUAAUAAUAAAUCGUAAUGAAAAUUUCUAAAGACAAAAACAUAUAUAUAUAUAUAUAUAUAUAUAUAGAGAAUAAUAUCUUACCAUUUUUUUUUAAAUAUCUAAUAAGUCAUCGUAUAUCAUAAUUUCUUAUUACACUGACUAAAGGAAAUAUAUACAAAUAUGUUCAAUUCCUUUUUCUUUUAAUUAAAAAAAUAACUCUUCCACAAUUCUAUAUUAAAUAGUAAAAAAUGUUUGGAAUAAUAUUUGGACAGGCACAUAUGUACUUUUAAGAGAACUAGAUUAAGCUAUGAGAUUGACAGAUAAGAUUUUUUAGAGCUAUAGAUUUUGACACAUACCCUUGAUCUUAUAUUUUUAAGUCUCUUCUCCAAAAAUUUUAUUCAUUAAUAUAUAUGGGAUAUAUGAAUAAAUGACAAAGAUAAUUAUUUUAAAGAAUCACAUAUCAUUUUUUGAAAUCUAAAUCAUCUGGUUUUGUCUCGACCUUCCACAUUGGCUUUAUUUUUUCAUAAGCUUCUCUUCAUACUUCUCGAAGAAGUCCUUGUUCUCCUUAACCAGCUCGUUCCACACUAGUUUUAGUUAACAUAAACAAGAGAUAACACAACUGUUCAUACAAGACACGAAAAGCAUAUAGUAGUAUAGAUAAAGGAUAAGAAAGGACCAAACCAGUGGAAGUGAUGAUGGGAUUGAUGUUUCCAGUACUCUUAGAGAGAGCUUCCAUGCAUUCUUCUUUGCUCAUGUUGAGUCCCAAACAUAUCUCUAUCAUGUGUUGCACCUAUACAUAACAUACACAUGAACAUAAGAUCACAUUUUUGUAUUGUCUAAGAAUGUAACAACAUUAAACAUAUAUAUUACCAUGUGAAUGUAUGCAGCUGGAGUAGAGUCACUCAUUUUCUCGAGAUAUUGAUAAAACUGUGAAUGAAUCCACACACACUCAACUUAAGAGCCACCACUAUGUGAUUAAGGCUUAUUUAUAGAAGAGCUCUCUUGAAGAAGAAUAUGAAUAGUAGUGUAAGUAUGUGGUCGGAAGUCUCACACGUAGGUUAAUUAUAAUUGGCUGAGACAAGAUUAGAAGGGAAUUUUAAGAAAGGGAAAAAAUAGAAGAAAAAGAGAAAGAUAUCUUAAUAAUUAACCUUUUCUCUCUUUUAUCCUUUUUUCCACAUAAAUCACCUUUUUAGAUUUUUUUUUUUUUUAUAUAGUUGGCUAAAGUCGAGAACUUCUUACAAUUUCAUCAAAUAGUAGCGAUUUGACCAAAAUACUUUUCAUAACAUUUAUAUGUAAAAUAUACUAAAAGCAUUUUCUAUUUCCACAAAAAUACAUACCCAACAAAAGAAACCAAUUUUUUCUUACUCGUUAUAACACUCAAAGUCUAACUGUAUAUUCAGUUUACAAUAUAUAUCAUGAAAAUUAGAGGUACAAGAAUGGCUUUAUCAACAAGAGCGUUCACAAUCGUAUACUCACAUUGGCAAGUUCCAUGGAGUAUGAAAGCAAAUGUAUAGCAUCUAUAAGCUUUAUUCCACUGUUUAAUACUUUUAUAAUUUCUAAAAUAAUCAGACUAAACGAUGCAUCCUUUGGAAAACAUGUUUUUUUGUUGAAUAUAAUUUUAUAUUCAAAAGCGGAUAACUUGGCAUUCAUGGUUCGUUCCAGUCCGCAAUUUGUUAAGUUUGUAAACAAUUGUCUUCUUAAUUGGUUCACUUGAGUCAUUUUUCUAGUAUUUAUUGACAAAAAAAAUUGAAUUCAUAAAAAAAAAUAAAGUUACAUAUUUUUUGAUUAUUGUAUAAUUAUCAUUAUUGAGUAGGAAGAUUUUUAGAGCAUAUAACUUCGUUUUCUUAAUUUAGGUUAGAAAUUAAACGAAAUAAUAAAUUGGUGAAAUUAAUAUCGUAGUUAAAUUCCAAUUAAGAGAUGUCUUAAAAUGGAUGUGCGGAUCAGAAUUUAAAUGAAAAUGGUCAUAAAUUGUUUUGUAUAUUUUUAAGGGUGUGAAACUGUAAUUUGUUAUUAUCAUGGAAAAAAAUAGUUGGUGUUCAUGUUUAUUACUAGUGCAGACUACAAGAAAACAUACCUAGCUAUUUCUGACCACAUGGUUUAAUUUCAUGAAACUUGCAUUUGCGACAGAUGUGGUGUUGGUUGUAUCAUAGAUGAGACCAGCUAGACUACGAGAAGUGUGGUUGCUAUUCUAAAAUAUAAGAUCAAAACAGACUGCUUUACUUAUUACUAUAGAAUGUAUUAUAAUGAUUAUUGUAAAUUAUAGAUUAGAAUGUAACUUUGUGAGUUCUUCGUGCUUUGACAGUUUGAUAUUUUUUUCUUCUAGUAAAAAAUGUUUAACAGAAGUUAAAAAUCGAUGAAACUAAGCUUCUCUCCAAGACGGAACCUCAUUUACUUAACUUGAAAAUGAGUUUUCGAGGUUAUAUCCUUACAAAUGUAAAUCCGAAUUCAAAAGAUAAUAUAAUUAUACUAGUAUUAUAGUUACUAAAUUGAUUAAAUAUGAUAAAAUAUAGUUUCCUAAAUUUUAACUUAUAUAUGAUAUAAUUUAAGAUAAAAAUCCAAUGUGAUUUUUUUUUCUUGAAAAAUCAUGGAAUAACUGACAAUAACCAUAACCUAACCAAAGUGAAUUGCAUAUAGUUGUUUUAUAUGGAUUCAUAUUUUAUAAAACUGAUCAAUCGUACGUAAAACCCGAAAAAUCAUAACUAAACCAAAUUAUUACAUAAGAAUUUUACAUGGUUUCAGUUUUUAUAAAUCGAAUAACUGUAACUGAAAAAUCAAACCGAAAUACUGAAAAACUAUUUGUGCAGGAUUAUAAGAAAACAAAAUUUGUUUCUAAAAUUUAUUAUUUAUUUAUAUAAUUUCCGGAACAAUGAUCAAAAACUCAAAUAUAGUGAAUUGAAAUGGUAGUGGAAACUUCAGUAGCGAAUAGAGAAACCUUUCUCAUCUCCUAAAAUGUAACAUUGUGACUGAAGACUUCACUGUUAUGUAGCUACGGGUCAUUCUUCUUUGGUUCCAAGAAGUAUUUGUCUUCUAUUUGAUUGAUUGGUAGAAAUGAUGAAAGAUUAAAAGGUGCUUAAAGUAGGGUUAAUUGUUGUAUAACCCUUUGUUCAAAAAAAAAAACACAAAAAGAUCGAAACUAAAAUAAAAUUUAUAUGAAAAGAACUAAAACUUUGGUCAUUAUUUCAUACAUAGAAUAAAUAUUUUCAACUAGUAAUCUCAAUCAUGAUUUGGUUCAAUGAUUAAAUUUUAUUUCUCUCUGAAUCUAAUAUAUGUAACCAUUUCUUUUUAAUUUUGUUUUGUGUUUAUAGAAAUUAUUUUUUGUGGUUCUGAAAAAUAGCUUUAAAAAAAAAAACAAAAGAUAUAACAGUAAAAAAAAACAAAAUUUGUGGAACUUGACUUUUCAAAACAUUUCAAAUGUUAUCUAACUCGCCUAGGUAGCCACAAUUUACAGUUCAAUGAUCUUUAAAAUUUGUCGGCAAAAUAUUUACUCAUGAUGUGAGUUUGUAUGAAUCUUUUGAAUAAAAUGAAUUAUGCUACAAAGUCCCAACCAAAAAUAGAAAAAUAAAAAUAAAAUAACUCAUAUACGAUCAUAGAUUAAUAGUUUUGCCAUUUGUGAAUAAUUAUUUUUUGUAGUAUAUAUAGUCGAUCCCUUACAAGUAGGUCAGCCCCUGACUAUGCCAUUAUAUGUGAAAAUUCUCAAGAAUCUUUUCAUAAACUAUAUAUGUUUCUUUCAAAACUCGUUUAUAUUUUAUCACAAAAAUGUAAUUAAAAUUAAUAUAGAAUUUAAUUAAUUUUCUCCAUGAAAUCUGCGUCGUUCCAUUUUAAUAUAUAUUACAAAAAUAUCUAUCAAAAUUUCAUUUUCUAAUUUUUUACAUAAAAUUUAUUUAUGUAUAAACUAGAAGUUUGAAAUUGUAUAUAUAGUGUUCCAAAAAAAAAAACAAAAAAAAGUAAGAAAUUGUGUAUAUAGAACCUAACACGUGGAAGCGACAAAGCAUUAAUUUAUAGGUAUGGAAUAAUGUCGGCAUGCAUGAAUCAUGAUGCAUCACAUACGAGCAAAUCCUAUGAAUUGAAUCGUCGAGAAAAAUGCACCAAGAUAGCAAUAUCCUAGGCAAACCUAAUACACCCUACACAAAAUCUAGAUUGUGGAUCGUGAUCGUAUCUUCUUUUUAUAAAUAUUUCUUUUUAUUACCAAGUGCUAAUAGUUCAAUUGUUAAAGAUUUUGGUAAAAUGUAGAGGUCGUUUGUUCGAGUAGAGAUUGGGACGAGACCAUAUGACAUACUCUGAUCUCAGGUCUAAAGAGAUGUAUGAGUUUCGGCUUAAAACCUUUUAGUUAUUAUAAAAAAAAAAAAAAUUUGAAAGGGUUUAUGAACUUUAAACGAAAGGGAGAUAAAAAAGUUUGUAAACUCAAUUCUUUUUUCAGUCUCUUCGUGAUCAGAGGAUUGAACUCGCCAUUCAUAUAUUAUUGAUAUAAUACCUCGCAUAAAAAAUUGAUAAAGAUUCUAACAAUAUAUACAAGAUAGAUGGAGUUUUCCACUUAUAGUUAAUUGACUUUACAUUGGAGGUCUACGUUAAUAUGGUAUAAAACUUAUGAAUUUUCCAGCCUAAUCACAUUUGACAUAUUUCAAAUUUUACCUAUGUACCUAUUUUUAUCUGAGAAUACCAAAAUUCAUAGUUCAAUAAGCUAUCGUCUCGAAAAAGCGUAUUAGAAAUAUUAUAUUUCCACAUCGGAAAUAGGAUAAAUAUUUUAAGGAUAUAUAAAAUAUAUAGGGUUAUCCAUGUAUUUCUAAUUAGUUUUAAGUUGAAAAACCGAUAAUUAUAUUAAGUAAGAUUUCCCAAAAUCGCAUAUGUCUUUUACAUCCACAAAUAUCAGAUUAGGUUUUACAUCUUUCUUAACGAAUCCCAAAACUGAAUCAACGCAUCUUUCUGAGAUGUUAUGGAUUCGCCAACCUAUCUUUGUUCUCUUGUUGUUGCAUCCGUAGAUGCCUUUAGUCUUAUUGUUGUUUAAUCGCUAAACUUGUAGAACCUCUAAGCUUUGUAUUCCAUUGAGUAUGAUUGUAUGAAUGAAAUCAAAUGCUUUUGUCCAAAUCAAAUGCAUUGCAUGCAACUUGAAUUUAAAUUAACCAAUAAAAAAUCUACUAAAUAACUUAUUAUUUAUGGUAUAACAGGUUGUUUAUGUAUCUAUAUAUAUAAAGUUAGCUUUUUCUCUCUUCUCAUGAUGCCACCUAAGCAUCCACAUAAGCCACAUUUUUGUUUAAACCUUAAAAUAAAUUUAAAACAUUCAUUUAGUGCAUUUUUGUGUUACUUAUUUAAUUAAUAGAAAGUUUAUAUAAAUAAAAAUAAAUUAUGUUAAAAAAAUGAAAUGUUAAAAUAAGAAAAACAUUACUUUAAUUUUUUUAUUAAUGGUAAUAAUAUAAUUCAACUUUCAUUUUAAAUUGAUCAUAAUUUAAUAUUUUAAAUAUGUUACUGAGUUUUAGAAUGGAAGUAAAAUUUAAAUUUAUGGUAAACUAAAACAACAUUUAUGUAAUUGUAUAUAUAAAAUUAUAAAGAGGAAAAAAAUGAAAGUGAAAUAUUAGUUUAUAACAUGAUCAAAAAGAAAAAAAAUGAUAUUUCAUAAAUUGAAUCAAGUGCUUUUAAUCCAAAUUUGAGUAUUGAAAGAUAAUAAUUAAAGAGAAAAUAAUUAUAAUAUUUUUGAAAAUCAAUUAAAAAAUAAUAAAAUAUCACAAUAUGAAUAAAAAAUCAACAAAACAAAAUUAUAAACCUCCCGCGCGGAGCGCGGGUCAACUGCUAGUUAUGUAUAAAAUCCGUUUUUGUAUUCGAUUUGGUAAUAUAUCUUAAUAUCUACUCAAACGCAGCAAAACAUUGUAAUUGGUAAUGCAAAGUACCACAUCUCUUGCCACAUACAUUCAAGAUCCUACUGUACAACAUAUGACUACUUUGGCAAUCCUUUUGUUUUUUUCUUUUCUAUUAUUCCUUUUGUCGUUUCUAUAGUGCUAUGGAUAAAAGUCUUUUGUUCAUAGAUAUCAAAUUCAAUCCCAAAAACCCCAAUAUAUAUAUAUAUAUAUAUAUAUAUAUAUAACUCAUUCGAAUCAUACAAAUAAGUAAUUAAUAUACAUUAAAGUAACUACUAAAACAGUAUUUUUAAAGUCAAGUUACAUAUGGGAGUUGCAAAAUGAUAAAAUGAUUGCAAAUGUUGUUAUAUUUUUAUAAUUUUUAGAAAUACUGAAAACUCUAAGAUGUACUUAAGCAUUUGGAGAUGCUCUUAGACAGCCGAAUUCAAAAAAGAAUGAUUGAUAAAAUAAUCUUGAAAAGUCUAAGAUGUUAAGCAUUUGGAGAUUUUCUUAGACAGCCAUAUUUUAAAAGAAAGAAAUGUCAUCAUGUAAAAAUUUAUGAAAAAUUAAAAAAAAAUAUAUAUAGUACCAAAAAAAACUGAUUAAUUUACAUAAAAGGUUUGAUGAUCCAUGUAUUGGGACUGUUGAGCUUUGUGAGGACUCUUGAGAAGGCAGUCGCUAUUUAAUGACUCAAUGUGUUGCCAAUAAGAAAUUUUUUAGAGAAGAAGAUAAAUUUGGCUAAAAGAUAAAGAUCAAAAGUAUACCUUGAAGAUGAUUGAUUUGGCUUUAUGCAGCUAUGCUUAGUUAACAGAGGCAGAUGCAACAUACAUAUAUAAUAAGACCAAAACAGAUUCAAAUGCUUGUAUUUCUCCAUGGACCAGAAGUAGUAAACAACCACAAUAAACCUUCAUGCAUAUAUAUACACAAAUGACAAAAUCCACCAUCAAUCAUAUAUCAUAUAAUUCUAAGCAUCACCUUCCACAAACCCACCAUAAUCUACCAUUCAUGAUCUCAUCAUCUACCAUCCACAAACCCAUACCAUCUACAAUUCACACACCAUCCACAUCCACCAUUUACAAGCCCACAAAUCAACCUUAUUAAUAUUUAUGUAUAUAUACUAAAGAUCUUACUCACUAUAUUCUUCUAUUUCCUUUUCUUUUUAACGUAUAAAAUAUUACACUUUACAAUAAAUUUGAAUAUGAAUGACACUUUUAAGCAAGAUAGACUUACUCUACUAUAUAUUUUUCAUAUGUAUUGACAACAUAUGGCAUGUUAUCUUUUCCUUAUUGCCUUUAGCGGACGGAUGCGUUUCAACUUAAGUAUAGUCGUAAGACAAGUUGGUUUGAUUUUCAUCAUUGGUUUCUUUCGAUAAGUUAUCCAUAUCGGAAGAACAAAAUAUUUUUUACAAAGAACAACGUAGCCCAUGCACCUCCACAUGUAUAUAUACAAUGUUAGAUGUUUUGUUAAAAAAAAUAAAAAAUUAAUCCGACAAAACAAAAAUAUUUUAAAUCUCUUACUAUUACUCUUAAUAUCAUCAAAACAUCUAUGUAUACAAUGGAAAAGUAAUUAUUUUGCUUUUAUAAAAAAAAACUGAUAUUUCAUGUUUUAUACAAUAUAUAGUAGGGAAAAUUUGUGGUUUAGUACAUUUUGGAAACAAAAUAGGCAGUAACUAAAGUACUACUUACAUGAAUUUUUUUUACAAAAAAUUCAUAAACAUAAAAAUCUAUCAUUUUUUCUCUAUAGUUUGAUAUGCAUUUUGUUUAAUAAUUUCAAAAAUAUUUUAUACAAAUUAUGAUUCGUACAAUUGUAUGUCUGUACAUAAAGAUGUGCCCGUACAAAAAUACUGCUGUCUAGAGGUUUAUAUCAUAUUUUUGUACAGAAAUACUGAUGAACAGAGGUUUAUAUAUGUACAAUUGUACUUUUACAUACAUUAUUCUGUACGGUUGUACGUCUCUGUACAAAUAUUUUAAUUGUACAAUGGUUUUAUUCUGUACAUAUAUACUUAUUUUAUUCGUAUAACCCAUAUAAUAUACAGUAAAUAUGAGUGUAGAAAUUAAAAUUGUGUAUAUGUAUGUGUAUAUGUACACUAUAAUAAACGUACAUAUCAUAUUAUGUAACUAUUGCUAUGCAAAUAAUUAAAUUUCAAAUUAUUAUAACAUUAAUGGCAUGCUUGUAAUUACAACAUUCAAUUAAGGGUUUGAGAGUUAUUCAAAUAGUGUCUAAUAGUAAUCAUUGACUAUUUCUCUAAUUGUAAAUAGUCUUUAGUACUAUUUUUCUAAUUUCUUUCUCAAAAUGUACUAAAACUCCAAUUAUUCCUAUAUAGUAAUAGGAUUGUGGAUAAUAUAUCGGUAAAAAUAUACAAAGGAUUGUUUUAGGCCUAGGCCUCUACCUGGUGAAACUAUAGGUGUAAGCAGGGGCGGAUCUAGAAAUUUUUUUCAAUGGGGGCAAAAAUAUAGUAAAAAAACUAUCAAAUACUAAAUUAUAAAAGAACAUAAAAUUGUCAUGUAAAAACUUUAAAACAUCUUACAAAACCACUCGACGCUCAUUUAACAAUUGAAACCUUUUUACCACAUUUUCAUUUGUGACAGCUUCAAAUAAUUAAAAAAAAAAAACAUGUUCUUAAUUAAAAAUUUAGAAAAUUUUGAAUUUAUAGACUUAUAUUUUAAAAUUUAUUAAUUUUAUAUUUUUGAAUUAUGUAACAAACUUCCAUAAAAGCUUAACCAUAUAAUAAACAUAUAAACAAUUGUCACUGCAAAAACUAAUAUAGUCAUGUAUAACAUAAAAACCUAUAUAAUGUUUUGGAGGAAACAUAGUUAUAAGCUUGAACUGAUUAAAUAAAAUUAACUGACUAAAAAAUAAUGCUUAUAUAAUAGAAACGAUUGUAAAAAAAGCAGGAAAAUAAACUCACAAAUUGAUAUUUGUUGAUUUGUUGUCACACAAAGAAACCAAAGGACUAAAGAAAAAGAAAAUAACAAAAAAUUAGGUCUAGAUUAGUAAGUAAAGUAGUAUUUUUUGUGGGGACAGAUUUUGUUUUCUAAUAAUAUUUAAUAAUUUUUUAAUAAUUUUUUAAUAAUUUUUUAAUAAUUUUUUUUUUUUUUUUUUUGGUGGCAGCUGCCCCCACCACCAUGGCUGUGGGUCCGCCCCUGGGUGUAAGGCACAUUCUUUGGUACUUGGUCAAGUACUAAUAAUAGUUGGUCUGUCUGUAUUAGUCUCACUCCCCAUGUAAUAUAGCGUUUCAAAUACGAACUCAAUUCUUUUUUUUUAAUUACAUUGUAAUGCAUUAAAACCAAACAAAAACAUAUUGAGGAGUGCAGUGUUACCCUCAUUACCUCUAGUAAAUUGAUAUUCCAAAAAAACUACUACCACUAAAUUUUAACAUUCAUUCAAGGUCAUCAAAUUUUCUUAAUUUAGUAACUACUUAUAGCUUUCAAAACCAUCUAUCAUAAAUAAAUAAUGUUUUGAAACAAGUGAAAACGAGAAUUCCAAACACAUUUGUUUCUCACUAUGGCCACAACGCUAAUCAAAGACAUCACUUUUCUCUUGUCGCUGUGUUAUUAUUUGUGCUAAUCAACACAUCACGUAUAGAGGAAGAGAUGUAUAGAAGGAACGAACAAGCGAAACAGAAAAGCAAAAAACAAAAAGAAAAUGAGGUGUGUUUUCUGGAUUCAUUUGUGUGUUCUUCUACUCGUGGUGACUACUAGUUCUGCACUAGAGCUAACGAUCUCGAGUUGCUGUCCGAGCUACUGUGGGAAUAUCUUGAUACCAUACCCUUUUCGCACCGGAAAAGAUUGCUACCUCAACGACUAGUAUGAUAUCCAAUGCAUCCAUUCUUCAUCUGUCCCGUUUCUGACUGCGAUCCAAAAAGAAGUUUGUGCGAAUCGACCUUAUGAAACCAGUAAAUAACGGGUCAUAUCCUUAUGAUUGGAUCCGUAUCAAAGCCAAUAUUUCUUCCAUGGGGUGUUUAGGUGGCAAUGGGCACAACUUGGAAGAGGUUUUAAAUUUCACGGGAACACCCUUUUCCAUCAGCGAAGACAACACACUUGUGGCGUUCGGGUGCAACAGCAAGACCACACUAACGAGUAUUGAACCGGGUAUUGUUGGAUGCAUCUCCACUUGUGAUAGCUGCCACAGUUCCUAGAAGAAUCAAGAUGAUAUGGCUUAAGAUUUUGCAAUAGGUGUGAAAAUAGAGAGUACUUAUGGUAACGAAACAAGACAAAGGUGCAAUGUAGCAUUUUUAACCGAUGAGUAUGACCAACCCUCACUGUGGCCCAACAGAACUGAUUCGUCAAGGCUUCACGGUGUGUUAAUUUCUAUCUCCACAGAGAAGUAUGGGUGUUUGGCUUCUUGUAGUAUUUGAACCAAAUUUUUAGGUGUGAUCAAUCUAUUAGGGUGACUGGAAUGGGCACGAGCCUAAGAUAGAUAGAGUGACUAGUUUAUUGUUUGCAGAGUCAAAAAUGAUCUUGCACACUGCCUCCAUUGAUCUGCGAAAACUUGAGUGUAAACUCACAUUCCACACUUUCAAAAUUAAGUAUAUAUGGUUUCUUGACGAACGAGCUUGAGAAUAAAUAUGAUGUACACAUUAGAAGAUCAUUAUUUAGAGGGGGUGGGAUGAUUCAGUUCUGCAAUAAUGUUAAAAUAUGUCCAAAUAGAAUUGAUAAAAGAGUAGAGAAGAACAUAUGAGAUCAUGACAACAAACAUUUCAUGAAAAUGAUAUGUAUUGAUAUGGCCCUAAGAAAAGAUUACAAAUGUCAUACGGAUUUUAUGGACAUAACAUACAGAAUUAUGUCCUAGACUAUGUAAAAAUAAAUCAUAUUACAAUGAAUUACCCUAAAAUAAUACUAAAACAAGUUUUAUGCACAACUAUAGCACAUAUUCCAUAAAUGUCCAAAAAUAACACUAAUUGUCACAAUUAUAAUAUUUUAAAAUAUUUCAGGUUUUUUUUUGUCUUAAUAGAGUCUAAUGGCAAUUUCAAGCCUUAAUUACAGAAGAAAGUUUAAAAACUAAAAAUGCUCUGCCUUGAUACCUCUUCAAUCCUCUCCUGCUGCUUCAUCUUGCUCUCUUGCCUUCUUCUUCUUAUUCUUGAUGUGGUUUGUUACCAUAUGAUUGUCAGUUUUAUCCAAUUCAGGAUUCUGCUCACUAAUCAAGUCAGAAACCUAUUGAGGCUUUAACCCCUUAUUCGCCGGAUCGUUCACCACCGCGUUGUAGGCAACUGUGUGAGCAGGCUUCCACUUAUGCUUUCUUUUGCCACCCUUGGUAGAGCUUGCAAGGAGAACAGUUGUGUGACCUGGAAGCAGUCUUGCAUGGAUCAGAAGCAGAAAGAGAAGCUCCUUCUUCAUCAAAAGCUUCUUUUUCUUCAUGAUCACAUUUCUUGUACUUCUCAGCCAGAUUAGCAUGCACGGUGUUGAGCCCAAGACAUUUGAUCAGGUCUUUGGCCUCCUUCUCCUUCUCUGCCAGAGAGGAGCUAAGCUCAGUCUCCUUCUCAGUGAGAAGCAAGGAGACAACCCCACUUUUCCGGUCAUACUUUCCGAUCUCUUGUCGAACGAGAGCUAAAUUAUGAUUCAACCUGAAGAUCGUCUCCAACACCGAAAAGCCACGACAAGGUAGCAGUGCAUCCAUCUGGAGACAACAAACGAAUGAAUAGUCGAGUGGAAUAUUUAAAGUUUAGAUUGACUAUUUUACAUUUAGGAUACAGUCUUGGGGUAGAGUUCAACGUUAAAAGUUUAUGAUUUAAUUUUAAAAGUUUCAUUGUAAAAUAUGGUGCUAUUUUGGAACUUUAGAGAUGAUGUGCUAAAUUUAUAAACAAAGUUUGUUACUAAGAAUUACAAUAAUUAGAUACGAUUAUAUAUAUAUAUAUAUAUAUAUUUAAAGUAUACUUUUUCUAUCCCUAAAUUCUAAUUAAUGAGAUUUUAAAAAUUUUUACACAAAUUAAAAAAAAUGAAAAUUUGAUUUUUGAUAAUAAUUUUAAAAUUCAUAUAGAAGACAUAGAUUCAAAACAUAUUUUUAAAAUAUUGGAUUAGUUAGAUUCAGAAGAAAUAUUUUAACAAAAAAGCAAACUAAAAAAACAAACACACCAACAUAAAACAUGAUUGAAAUAAUAACUAUUACAUAAAUUAGAUUCCCAGUCAAAUUAGGAUUGAAUAAAAUGUAGUAGAUUCAAAGAAAAAGUCUCAGUCAUUCAAAGUCUUCAGUCUCUCUCUAGUCUUCAUAUUAAUUAAUAUCAUAUUUGAAUUCUAACUAUACAAAAAAAAAAGUAUAGAUUACUUAACAAAAUUAUAUAUCAAACCAAUGAAAAAAAAAUACAAAAUAAAUAAAAUCAAGUCAAACCGACCAAUUCUUUUCCUCCAAAUAAGACCAAAACUAUCCUAACAAUUCCAACAAUGUUUAAAGAACCUUCCUAUCUCCUUUUCCUUUUCAAACAAUGACUUUGUCUUUGUCUUCUACUUAAACCUUAUCACCUUCCUUGAACCAACACUUACAAAUCUCAAAAUCUUGUAUAUAUAUCUUAACAUAUACACACAGAUUCUAUAUCUCCUCUAAGAAGCUUUAUUCAUUCAUUGAUACACACCUUAAGACUUAAGUAACGUAACCAUGGAGUCCAAGAGUUUCUUGUUGGGAUCUUCUUCUUCUUCUCUUCCUUUGUUUGCUCUGUUCAACUUGUUCCUCAUAAGUUUCUGCAGAUGGGUUUCUUCUACACGCAUCAGUUUAUCUAGAUUCUUCCCUCUUCUUCAACAUCAUCAUCAAAGUAGUAUCGACAAAGAGAACAAUAAACACCAACAACAAGAGAGUUUGAUGAUCAAACAAGAAGAUGAUGAUCUAUGUAAAGAAGAUGCAGAGAUGGUUAUGAGAAGUUUAGGGCUUUUCUCUAAUAAUGAUGGUGAGCUUCAAGAACGGUACAGUGUUACGCAAGUUUCGAGUUUGUUCGAAGAGAAAGAAGCGAGUUUGGAUGAAGUGAAGCAAGCUUUUGAUGUGUUUGAUGAAAACAGAGAUGGGUUCAUUGAUGCAACAGAGUUGCAAAGGGUUUUGAGAAUCUUAGGGUUUAAAGAAGAGUCUUACUUAGACAAGUGUUUUGUAAUGAUUAGGUCAUUAGAUGGUAACAAAGAUGGAAGAAUCGAUUUUAAUGGGUUUGUUAAACUCAUGGAGACUAGUUUCUAUUGAAUUCAUGAUUCAAUAAUUACAUUUAUUCUUUUAUUAUUAUUAUUAUUAUUAUUAUUAUUAUUGUUCUGCUUCUUGGAAUGAGAUUAUGAAUAUUAAACAUGUUUAUUGAAAUUAUUAAUCAGACUUUUUUCUUAACCACAAUCUCUUUGCGGCAUUUUAUCGAACACCUUGCGCGCAUUAUAAUAUAAAGACGCAUACAUAACUAACACUUAAAGCUUCUAAGCAAGCUAGAGGGUUAUCAGAACCCUCCCGGUUCCAUUGAAGUCGGAGAUCGCCGACCAACGUCCGUCACCGGAAUCUUAAUUCAGGUAAGCUUUUCUUCUUAUUGGAAUCAAGAUUUGAUAACUCUCAAUCAAAGUUUGAUACUUUAGAAUCAAAUCCGACCAAAGAUUCGAACUUUCGAGAUUUGUCUGGUUUUAGUGACAUGGGUCUUUGUGGGUUUUUGAAGAACUUCUCUAUACUGAAUGAUACAGACUGUAAUGUAUGAAGAUAUUAUAAAGUCUCUGUUUUGAUGAUGGUUCUUGUCUUGUAGUAUCAUAGAGGCUUCUCAGGUUAAGAUGAGUUUAAGUAGAGCUAAGGAUUUGGGGCUUCCGUUGAUGAAUCUUGUUAGACUUAAAGGUAUACCAAUCUUGGAGCAACUUGGUUUGGAAGAAAGGCUUCUUAGAACAUCUUCUGAGAAUUGGUGCAUUGUUAAUGAUGGAACUAAUGUCCCUACCAUUGUCAUGGGAAUGUCAGGGUAAAUGAUUACAUCUUUCCUCACUUGUAAAUCGAAAUCAUUGCGAAAAAUGUUAACUUUUGAGCAAUGUCGUCAUUACAGGAAGCCUGCUCAGCUUCUUGAGCUUGGACCUGUUAUGGAAGAUCGAAUACCGGUUGUUAAAAGAUUUACGGGAGGAGGAACUGUGAUUGUGGAUAAGAGUACUUUGUUUGUGAGUUUGAUUUGUAACAAAGAUGAUGUUCCGAAUGUUCAGCCUUAUCCUCGUUCUGUCAUGGCAUGGAGCGGUUCGUUGUAUGGUGAAGUGUUUAAAGGUGUUAAUGGUUUCCAGCUACGUGAGAAUGGUUUGUGACUGAUUCUUUUAGAUGUUUAGUUAAGUUACUCCCAGUGGAAAGGUUUAAUGUUUCUUCUUUCUUGUACUUUGGAUAUUUCAGAUUAUGUAUUUGGAGAUCGUAAGUUUGGUGGGAAUGCUCAAUCAAUAAUUAGGAGUAGAUGGAUACACCAUACAUCAUUUCUAUGGGACUACAAUGUGAGAAACAUGGCUUACCUUAAACUGCCUUCGAGAGUGCCACAGUACCGGUUGGUAUGAUCCUUAUUUCAUCUUGACCUAAGUGUCUUCAAUUUGAUUACUUGAUCCAAAACUCUUUGAUUCAUGGAAGUUAGUUAACUAUUCGAACUGUUUGGUACAUUGCAGGAAAGAGAUCAUACAGAUUUUGUGUGUAAAAUGAAGGAUUACAUUGAAAGAUCAGAUUUUAUGGAGAAGACAAUAAAGGCUGUGGGAAACCAAUUCACAUUGAAGCAAGUGAAUCUUAAGGAUAUAGAUUCCUAUGCAAAGGGAGAACAUUUGAACAGCACGAGGCUACUUACAAUGGAAGAACUCGAAAAAGCAAUGGCUGGCACCAGUUAGAAUGCAUGAGAGUAUUGCUCAUGCUAGUUAAGUUUUACUCAUAUGGAAUUUAAAACUGCUAUUGUUUUCUGGGUCCUUGAUUCUUUACCUCGGGUUAGAACCACUACUUGUGUCUCUAUUCAUGGCCUAACUCAGAGUUCUUGAGAUAAAAUGUGCUGGUGUUUAAUUUUGUGAUAUUAUUUUGUGAUUUUGAAUCAGAAAUUUGAUAAAUAAUAGUACAUGGAUAAAGAUAAAGAAGAUACUUGAUUUCUUAGCUUGUCAAGUUAAUGGCUAACAAAAGACAGUGACUUUGAUAAUAAUGACAGGAGUAAUCAAGUUCUUGAUCAGUUCCCACUCUACAUGUUGGAGCUUAAGUGGCCUACUCCUAGAAAAUCUAUAAAUGCUGGAGGUUUAGUGGUCUCAAUAUAUCUGGUCACCAUUGUAUGUUCUGCAGUUGAUGAUGAUGGCAGUGAUAAUGACGAAGAAGAUGAUGAUGAUGAUGGUUCCUGGAUGGAGACAUGCAGUGUCAGUGCCAAGGAAUCUGCAGGGAAGGUUGAGUAGUGUUGAUGUGGACCCUGCCUCGGCAUGCGCGAAGAACAAUAUUCUUCUUGGAGAUACUGAGCUUUCAGGUUAGUAGUUCCCUCUUUUAGCAUUUCCCAGCUGUACUUUCUUAGAUUCAUAUCUUCAUCAUCUUCAUUACCUGUAGAACACACAGAAACAUGAAAACUUAGAACUCACCUACAUCUAUAGAAUCUCCCUAAAACUUGCAAGCUAGUUAAGUUUGACACCAGUUGACAUGUUACAUUAUGAAACAGCAUUAUGACUUGACUUCAAUAACAGAGCAAACUCAAUGUAUAUGUAUCAAGAACUAGACCGGGUAAAAAGACACAAACCAGGAGAAAGAUUGAAGAUUUUGUGAUCUGUGUUUGGUUUAUUAUGGUUAGACCCAUUGAAUCUUUGGACGUAAGAACUUGAUUGCUGCCUCAUCUUUCUUGCCAUGAGUACAUGCCAGUGAUUCUUCAAGGCAUUGUCUGUUCUUCCAUUGAAAAGCUUAGCAAUCAUAGCCCAUUUGUUACCAAAUGCUCUGUGAGCUGCAAGUAGUCUCUCUUCCUCCUCAACAGCGAAAGCUCUCUUGUUAAUCCUUGGAUCUAACUGGUUAAACCACCUCAAUCUGCAACUCUUGCCUUUAAACAAACCCAAAGAAGCAGAAUCAUUAUUAAAUUUCACAUUUUUGUCCCAGAAUAUGCAGAGGAAAGAUAUCAAAGAUUUCAACUUUUGUUUACCUGUUCUUCCUUGCAUAUUCUCUGCAAUAUGGUUCCAGUUUUGAGGACCAUAAACUGCAACAAGCUCCAUAAGCUGAGUAUCCUCAGAGAUCCUCCAAUGACCUCUACUACAAACCCUAGAACAACUCUGUUUCUUCUUCUUCUUCAAAUCAUCAUCACUCUUCUUCUUCUGCAUCCUGCCUUUAUUACAAAACUCUUCCACAGUUUCAGACACUGCAUUGUUUUCUCCAAACCCAUUAAAUGUACCUCUGCACUGGAGACCAAAAGGGUACUCUUGGAAACAUGAAAAAUCCAUCUUCUUGUUUGGUCUCUCCUCUAGCUACAACCAGUGUCUCAUAUAUACACACUAAGAGAGACAACACAUAACAUAAGAGAAGCAUGUGAUGUUUUGGAUUCUGUUGAUGGAUAUGUUAUUCGUAAGUAAUCUUUUUCAUUACCAAAAAUGGAAACCUGAAGACAGAGAAGAACAAGUGUGAGGAGAGAGAGAAUGACUCUAAAUAGAAAGAAACCCCACGCAUACAUCUUUCAUGGUUGCUCUGUUAAGAAACAGUUUCAGUUCUCUGACAUCAUUUUUUUGGUUUUCUCUUUUUAAGUUUGAAAUAUUUGUCACCUCUCUUAUUAUAUUCUUCUCCCCACGCUUUACCAUACUCUCUUCAAAUAUACCAUUUCCUUGUAUAUGUAUAAAUGUAGGUACAAGAAACCAAAACUAUGUAUACCCAUUUCUAGUUGCACUACUUAUAUAAGAUAUAGAAAUUAUCCCUAUGCAAACUAAAUUCUAAGUACCAAACUAAGCCUUAUUAUGUUCAUAGUGGCAUAAGCAAACAUAUCCUUAUGCAAACUAAGUUCUAAGCACCAAACUAAGACUUAUGUUCAAUGUUCAUAGUGGUAUAAGCAACUACAUUAUUCAAGAAUCAAGAUUAAGAAAGCAUAAUGGUUUCAAGGUCUUCGUGGCCCAAUGGUUUUAGACCCAUUUGUGUUAGGUCCUUUAAAAAUAUGUAUACAUGAAUUUCAAAGUCAAUGAUGGCUCAUGGCUUACAUAAAAGACUAACCACUAACCAAUUUAUUGUGGACUGGUUCGUUGGACCGCAUGGACAAUAAGAGACAGAUCUUGCUAGGGUCGAGCCAAGCUGGAUCUUGUCAAAGAUAUCAAUCUUUUUCUUUGAAUUGGUUUUAAUUGUAGACUGAGAAUUAGGUCCUUUAGAAAUCUUGAUAUGGUCCAGUUUCAAUAAAGCCUUUAGAGUUUAGAGAAUAGAGUUUUUUUUUUUUUUUUUUUUUUUUGUAAACAAUUAACUUUUAUGGAUUAUAAUUUGUAUAUUUUGCAUCUUGCCAAUAUUUUUUAAACCAAGAAAUUGUCUUUAUAAUUAAUUUUGUAUGUAAAAGAAGAAUAAAAUUAGGUUGGCAGAAAAGAAAAAAAAAAUCUAUAUAUAUAUAAUAUGAAAUUUUCACUUUAGUAUAAAAAUACAAAUUAGUUAAAGCAAAUACAUAACAUCACUUUUCAUUUUCAUACAUAAUAAAACGAGAAUUAUAUUUCUCUUUUUUUUUUCUCGUUCCCACACAUAUUCGCUACAUAUCACUAUCAGUCCCAAUCUCAAUUGGUUACCCAAAAAAAAGUCCCCAACUUGAAACCGAAAAAAAAAAGGAAAAAACAUUACAUAAACCAAACCCGAACCGAACCGAACCGAAAUCGAAACCGAAACCCGUUAUAUAUAACUAAUACCGAAACUGCCCUCCGGUAUAGGUUUGGCCAAAGGACCAACUAGAAGGUGCAACAUUGUACGAGACGACACUUCGACGAUCACUUGUAGUAACAACAAACGACAGACUUUGACCAUUGAGAUAAGAGUUGCUUUGCCAAUUCUGCCCCCAAUUUCUUGACAUUAAUUGCCAUCUUGUCCUCGACCCUUUCAUCGAAACCGAGUGUACAUCUCCGGCUCCACCCACGUUCGUGACCAGGACCAAGUUAAAGUAUGAAUGGCCAUUGAUAGUGAACCUUAUCCCACCACUUCUCUUGCACCGAACCCUAUCAAGAACAUUUUCAUAAGUUCACGGGACAAAGCUAGCUCUCAUGCACCAAAGUUUGGUAAUGUCGCUAUUAGAUUCAGUUUUGGGUCUAUUUAAUAAUAACCCUACCAUAUAUUUCUACCACAUGUAUCAACUGGUCCAAUGGUAUUAAAUGUGUAAUUUAUAGGACCAAAAAGCUGAUUAUAAAUGUUUCAAUUUACGCGUUUAUAGGUUUUAUGAAAAGUCAAAAACAAUUACUAAAAGUACUUCAAGAAAAAAUGUUUAUAACAUAUACAGAGGUGAGACAAAAGUCAUAUACAUAUAGAGAAGAAGUCCAUAUGUUUCUAAAUAAGUACACAACUCUAAUCUCUUAUAGUCUUAUCUUAUUAUUUGCUUUUUGUACAAUUAGUCUCAUUUCGACUAGUGAAUUUGACUAAACAUAUAUAUCAGUAAGUCAAAAAAGGAGAUUAACUAAACAGUGUUAGAAACUUUUCACAAAUCCUAGUUAUAUUGACAUUAAAUUGUUAGGGAUCUAAUAGAAUUAGUACCUUCUAUACAUAACAGGGAUGAUACCGGACUUGUACAGCGCGAUUUUCUCGUAGAUCGGCUGAGAAAGAUCGAAAUGGUGGUUUGGAGGGUCGCAUGCACCACCAGGAGGACAAAAGUUAGUGGCAGUGACCACAAUGGAUCGGCCUUUGAUGCACCAUUGAGGAUCAUUGACACACAUCAGCUCAAAACAUGCUCCACAGCUAAGUCCUUGAUCGAAUAACGAUGUGCUUAAUGCUGCCGUCUCUAGUCCGUAACCUGUGCUGUAUAAGUUCCCAUAGCCGCAUGCUCCACCUAAUUUAAGUUCAUUAGGCUAAAUUAAUGUUUCUAAUCCAAUGAACAUUUGUAACAAUUGAGACAUUAAACAUAUGGAGAAGUUAAAUGCUUAAGCACACAACAUUAGAUUCAAGAUCAAUCUGUUUAUAUAAUUCCUAGAUUAUAUAUUGUAGAUAAUUCCAUGAUUAGCCGUUAAAAUUGUGUGCAUGUGACAAUUAGCUAGAAACAAAGCCGGAAGUGAAAUGACAAAACUACCCUUUUCCGAGUUAAGCUACAAUGAUCCAACCGAAAAUGAAAAUUUAUUGAAGUUAUCAAUAAGGUUCGUACCCAUAGUGCCGGAAGCAUCACCACCACCGUAAAAAGUAGCAUGAGCAUUAGUCCAAGGUCCCAUAUGACCACCGGGAUGAUGGCCACCGCCACGACGGUAACUGCCUUGAACGCAAACGGAGAACACUAUGAGCUGAACUACCACAAGAACCGAGAAGAUUACUAAAGCUCCCAUGUUGUUGUGAAGCAAAAAAAAAGCAAAUCACAACAUGCAAAAGAGACAAAGAGAGAGAAGCAAAAGGGUGUUUUCGUCAAUGAAUAUGAUGAUGAAUGAAACUGGAGAAGAAGAAGAGAAGUGGUAUAAAUAGGAAGUGAGGAUUCAGACAAAGCUUUAGCGGUAAUGAAUCAAUCAGGGUCCAUGCAACUAACUAUAAAACUCUUUUAAUUGUAAGAACCGACGAAAAAUAAAAAUGAAUUUAAGAGUUGGAUAAAAGAAAAAAAAUUUGUCAAAAAUGAGUAGGAAUCUUAUAUAAGUCGUAAAGGUCACUCAAGAAAUUGAAUAUAAAUGUGUAUCAGAUAUUAGUAGAUGUGAUAGUGAUACUGUAACAUUAUAGAUUUUUUUUUGAAUAUGAGAAAGUAUUUAUUAUUUGUUUUAAAGGUCAAAAAGUAAUCAUAGGGAGACAUGAUUUGCAAUAGCAUUUACAUAUGAGGGUUUGAGUGUUUUUUUGAGACAGAUGAUUUAUAGAGCUCAAUAAAUUAUAUUAUCUGGAUAAUAAAGUGUGAAUUUAAUUUUUAUAUACGCAAUAUCUUUAUGGUCCAAUUUUACUGCAUAAAUUAUUUUUUAUUGUAUGGUUUAUUUUUCUUGAUUUGUUAUAAAUUGGAGCUACAUUUUUGUAUAUUGUGGCAGAACUGACGGAGAGAACAGUUGGGACUUUUCAUAAAACUGUAGAUAUGUCAUUGGACAAAAAUGGGUACAGCUGUUUUGGAGAAAUUGUAUAUAUUUGACUUAUUGUGAGUUUUCUGUAUGCUUUAUUUACACUUUUCUUUUUUUAAAGUCACAAUAAUUUUAUAUGUAGCACACAUAAACUCCAUUAUGUUUUUUUUGGGGUAUGCUAAUUUUUAGUGUUUAUUCUCCUUAUCCCAAAAAUACAUUGUAAUUGUAUGAAAGAAAAAAAAUUAUAAGCAAUAUAACUUUUAAUAUGUAUUUUCAAAAGGUUUUCUUAUUCACACACUUUAUAUUAUCACAAAAUUUCAGAUAGAUAUACUUCUACUAGAGUUUUGAUUUAUAUAUUUUCUUUUGUUUUAAAAAAUUUGACAAUGAUGAAAAAAUGUUAUAUUAUAUAUUAUUUUUGAAUUUGUUGGAUCGAUUUUUUCGAAAAAUUUUGUCGGAAAUUAGGAAAAAAUUUCGAUGGAUUAACUUUAUUGUGAAUUUGUCACAAAAAUGUCAAAAAACUGGUAGGUUACAACAUUUUAAAAUAAACAUAUUCCGACUAAAAAAGUGACAUAUUUUCAUUAAAAUUUUGUGAGAAACAAAAACCUGGUAAACGUAUCAUCCUGUUAUAUUAUUCUAACAAUUCAUCAAUAUUUAAUCAAAAAAAUGUAAUGAUUAAUUUGAACAUAUUUCCGCAGAAAUGUGAAUAUAGUCAAAUGGAGUUGGCGUUCUUGGGCCCUUGGCCUGAUCUAGGCGCUUUAGGCGUGCGCCUAAUUGGGUUAUAUAUAUACAACCAUACCGUUUUCUAUUUCGAUGAUCUAUUAUUUGAUGUUUUCUCUUAACAUUUAUAAGAUGUGAGAGUAGAUGAAGAAACCUUUAGAUGAAAAACUGGAGAUAUGUAACAUGACAUGAUUACAAAGAAGGAUUAUCGGAAUUUAUGCAUUUUGCAUCUAAUCAAGAUAUGACUUGUACACAAGGUAUUAUAGUUUUUUACCUGUCUCAAAUGUAGUAAUGAUUUCAUCCGCAACAAAAUCGUUUGGAAUUAUUUAUAUCAAAGAGGUUUUAUAGAGACUAACAAAAUCCUAACUUCGAUAUUAAUUAAAAUAGUUUUUAAUAUUUUAAAAAUGUUUCAAAAAUUGCAAAGAAAGUACGAUCGUAAUACAAUGGUGUACAUAUGGCAUUGCUAUUUAGUGGUGGUGUGACAUGAGUCUUACGAUCUCAAGCUGCUUAAGGUGAGAGAUUUUGUCCAUGCAUGCAUGUGAUCAGUGGAUCUGUACUCUAAAAAAAACAUAACCAGUUUUGCAACGACAAAUUGUUACAGAAACAAAACAAAACAAAAAAUUGUAUGUAAUAAAUACUGAUUUUUCUUACAACCAGGAAAAACGACAGAUAUUUAAAUACACUUGGAAUGAUAGAUGCAGGUGAAGUAGUACAGUUGUACAAAUGGUAAUAGAUAUAUAAUAUUGACAUAAUAAAAAAGAAAUAUAUAACCUGAGUUUUAAAUCUUUUUGUAUGCUUAUAUAUAUAGAUAUAUAAGCAUAUAUCAAUUGUUAUGGUUAAAAAAGGUGUCUUAUAUAUAAGCCUUGAAUGUCUUAAUUAUUUUCUGUUUUUUUUUUUUUAAUUUUCUGAAAUUUAAUUUCUCGACUUCAAAAUUUUUGUUUUGUAUAUAUACAAGAAAACAUGGGAUUUUUCGACGACGAUAUUUGUCGAAAUGACAUAUUCAGACGAAUUUUUGACAAAAUUAAAUUCUCAAGAAUUCUUUGGUUGGAUAUUUAUAUUCGUCAAAAAUUACUGACAAAAAAUAUCGUUACAAAUUUGUAUUUGUCAGAAUUUCACUGGAAAUUUCCUACAACUAUCCGACGAAAAUUUUUAGUGGUUAAAAAUUUGUCGAAAAUUUCUGACAAAAUUCCGACCAUAUUAAAAUUACACUAAAAUAAUUUUAAAAAUAUUUCUGACAACCAAUUUUUUAUUUUAAAAAUAAAUAAAUCAAGAGCAUUUAAAUGAAUAUAUUUACUAUAAAUCCUUAAUCUCACCUUCUUGCAGUUCAUUAAGGAGUUUGAAGUUGGCAUGUGUGAUGUACUGAUGUGUCUAACUGAGUAUUAUUUAAUUUUGAAGUUUAAGAUCCUUGAUGCUGUUCUUGGCCACCUUUUUUAAAUUUGGUGGUCAUAUGACUUUGGUCAUAUUAAAGCUAAUUAAUCAUGACUUUUACACUGCCACCAUUGAAUAACAUUGGCAACUUGGCAUUCACAUUUAGAUAAUAACAUUGACUACCAUUGGAAAUUUUUAAAGAAGUAAAUUAACUAAAAAUACAUUGGCAAUUUAUCAUUAACAUUUUUAUUAACUUGUGACUUAGCAUAUGGCUCUAUAUGUUUCCUCUUCAUAUCAUCAUUCAUGAGCUUAGGCAGCUUUGUAUGUGAUGCCAUUGCUCAGGGUUACAACAAGUUGGGAAGGAUUUUGAGCACGAGCCGACGGCUUUUGUGGAAACCACUUUAUAAGGAUUGGAAAUGGUGAUCAAGUGAAAGAUCAUCACAUACCAAUAUUACCAAAUCAAGUGAAAGAUCACCACAUACCAAUAUUACCAAAUCAAUGAAGGUGAUAAGUUGUGUCUAAGAUCUAGUUUGAAGGCGAAAACAAUUUUUCUUGGUUUCUGUGCCUGAGAGCUUCUAAGGCGAUUUACGAUUCUUUUGUAGAUCUCUGCCGGAGAUCGGCCUCACGCCGGUUCUUCCGAGAACAAUCUUUUCUCCUUCUUUCUCCUCUCAGCUCUAUGUCAUCUCCCUUCAGGCGAUAAAGUGUCUGUUUUCUCCUCUCACCUCCGUCGUCUUUCACGGCGGCGGAACCCGAUUCCGGUUGCUUUUUCUGGUCCUCCCCUCCUUAUGGGGAAGCACAAAUCCUCAAAACGAAAACCUCCUGGUUGGAUCUCUCCUUCCAAGCUCCUGUCUGAGAAUAACUCCCCACCUUCCCCUUCUCUGAUUUCUCCCGCUGUAGAGCGUCCUCUGACUUCUUCUUCGAGCGACCCUCUCUCUCCGGUUAUAAAUGCCUCAGUCGAAGCUCCGUCUUCUGGCUCAGCCAUUGUUUCAAAAAUCUGUGAAACCCCAGUUUCAGAUCUUCAAGAUCUGAGUACGAUUGACGCCACAGUGAGCUCUACAAACCUAGACCUCCCUAUGCCGCCUUCCUCGACUCUACCUGCUCCCAAACUCACUCCGGAACCGGUAAACUCGACAACUACUGCGAAUGUUGAAGUUUCAACAAACCCAGAAGCUACCAAAACCAACGACGAAUCUGCAAAGGCUGCGGCGUCACCAUCUACCUCCCAAGCCGAACCUAAAGCAAGUGAUCCAGACUGGUUGAACUUAUUCAAGGGCUCUGCUAAAUCACUAUCAAAGAAAGGAAAAUCUUUCCUUCUCCCUUCAGGUGAAGCUUGUGUGGACAUCCCAAAUUCAGUGAUUGAGAAACAUCAAAAAUCCUGGGAAUCGUUUAUAAUCGGCCAAUUCUACCAUGAUCCUCCAUCACAAGGCACAAUACAUACAAUUGUGAAUGGCAUCUGGAGUAAUCGAUUCCGUGAUAUCUCUGUUUCAAAGCUUGAAGGAAAUGCUUUCCUUUUUAGGAUCCCAAAUUUCCAAACUCGAAACAGGGUUCUAAACCAAAGGCUUUGGAGCAUAGAAGGACAAACAAUGUUUGUUGCUGAUUGGCAACCAGGAGUUACUCCAGUUAAGCCUGAACUCUCUGCUGCUCCAAUCUGGCUAGAACUUCGAAAUGUUCCUCUUCAGUUCUUCAACGAUGAUGGAUUAGGGCGAAUUGCUGGUCUGGUCGGAGAUCCUAAGAGCCUUCACCCAUCAACUGCAAACAAGUCAAACCUGGAAGUCGCAAAGGUGUUCACGAUUAUUGACCCCCGUAAACCUCUUCCUGAGGCUGUAAAUGUUCGAUUCCAAUCAGGUGAGAUCAGGCGAGUGCUCGUUUCUAGCCCUUGGAUGCCCCCUGUUUGUAGUCACUGCAAAGAGAUUGGCCACAGUGUUAAGAAAUGCAAGACAGCUCCCAUUUCGUGCACUGGCUGUAAAUCCACCGUUCACACUUUGGAUGUUUGUCCAAGAAAGUCAAAGAAGAAGGCUCCAGCUUACCGUGAAAAGCAACCUCCUGUUGUCACGACUUCACCUGCUGCUCCUCCGUCUAUCCCUGCUCCUUCUCCUUCUAAUCUCUCUACUUCUACCGCUUCUGACCCGAAAGGAAAAGGAAUUCUUUCCUCUCCUGUUUCAGGUAUCAGCACCCAGAAAGUUUUGGGUCAGUCUAGUGGCUCUCGCCCUCCUCAAAAGCCACUCAGACCUGCAACAGUUUCUCCCACCCGUACUAUUGUCUCCUCUGGUGGCUCUGGGGCUGAGGCUGACUCCUCAGAUAUCUCUAGUAGCGAACCGGACAGCAGUGACGGUGUUGACUACACAGAAGAUGACCAUUACGAUUCUGAGUUCACAACGGUGUUGUCUCAACGACAGCGUCGGCGUGAGCGAGGCAAUAGCCUCAAAUCUGUCUAAUAUUUAUGUAUACAGAUAUUUUUUGUUGGAAUGUCCGAGGCUUUAACAAGCUAUCCCAUCGUACCGGAUUUAAAAAAUGGUUUCGAAGAAAUAAACCAUUUUUUGGUAGUAUUAUAGAGACCCACGUCCAGCAGCACAAGAGAGCCAAGUUCAUCCGCGAUCUUCUGCCUGGCUGGAGCUGGGAAGAUAAUUAUGUAUUCUCCAACCUUGGCAAAAUCUGGGUUUUAUGGCAUCCAAGCGUUCAGGUCAGCAUCAUUUCCAAGUCUCUUCAGAUGAUAACCUGUGAAGUGCAAAUGCCUAGUCUCUCAGUGCCCAUUAUAGUCUCAUUCGUCUAUGCAUCUAACGAGGAAUCCGACAGAUUGCUUCUUUGGGAUGAGAUCAUAAGUCUUUCUAGUCACCAGUCUAUAGUGAACAAAGCUUGGACCUUGCUGGGUGAUUUCAACCAAACCUUAAACCCUGCUGAGCACUCUGCUUCAGAUGGUCACAGGGUUGACCCUGCAAUAACUGUUUUUAGGGACUGUCUUUUCAAUGCUUCCCUAAUGGAUCUUACCUUUAGAGGCUGCUCUUUCACAUGGUGGAAUAAAAGAGAAAACGAUCCUAUUGCAAAGAAGCUGGACAGAGUGUUGGUCAAUGCCCAAUGGACAAUGCAUCUCCCCUGGUCUUUUGCUUUCUUUGGUGAGCCUGAAUUUUCAGACCAUGCUUGUAGCUCCAUCAGCCUGGAUCCGCCCAGGUCAGACCAAAAGAAGCCCUUCAAGCUCUAUACUUUCCUUCUUAAGCAUCAAGAGUUCAUUCUUCUUAUUUGUGAGAGCUGGUUUUCUUUUAACUUUGUGGGCUCUGAAAUGUUUAGAGUUUCUAAAAAGCUUAGCGCUCUGAAAAAGCUUAUUCGGGACUUCAGCAAAAAUAACUUCUCAGAUAUUGAGAAAAGGGUCCAAGAAGCUCUAGAGAAGGUUAUUCAAUUUCAGAACUCAAUGCUGGCUCAGCCCUCCCCUCAAACUGCUAAAGACCUUGUUGAAGCGGAGAGAAUUUGGCAUAUCCUAGAGAACGCUGAAGAGACAUUCUUUAGACAAAGAUCCUCUAUUUCUUGGCUGAAGGAUGGUGACUGUAACUCUUGGUUCUUUCACAGAAUGGUAAACCUAAGGCAAGCAAUGAACCACAUCCACUACCUUGAAAACUCUAACGGGACAAAAGUGAAAUCUGCUCAAGGAAUUCAAGAUAUUUGCGUUGACUACUUCUCAAAUUUCUUAGGAAAAGAUGACUCUCCUUCGCUAUUCCAGCAAGAGGAUAUAAAUAGACUACUAGACUUCUCCUGCUCCUCUUCUCAGAAGGAUGAACUCAUAAAGAAUUUCUCCUCUCAAGAGAUUAAAGACGCUUUUUUCUCUCUUCCAAGAAAUAAGUCUAGUGGUCCUGAUGGCUACCCAGCAGAGUUCUAUACUAGUUGCUGGAGUAUUGUGGGUGGUGAGGUGAUUUCAGUAGUGAAAGAAUUCUUCUACUCCGGGAAAAUUCUGAAACAGUGGAAUGCAACAACUCUGGUGCUAAUCCCUAAGAACAGUAAUGCUUCCAAGCCCUCAGACUUCAGGCCUAUUGCCUGCUUGAACACGCUAUACAAAGUGAUCUCUAAACUGCUUGCAGAUAGACUCAAGCUACUGCUCCCAGACCUAAUCUCUCCUGCUCCCAGACCUAAUCUCUCCUGCUAGCCACGGAGAUUGUCCAGGGUUAUAACCGGAGGAACAUCACCUCGAGAGGCAUGCUUAAGGUUGACUUGCGCAAAGCUUUUGACUCUCUUCGCUGGGAUUUUAUCAUCGCAACUUUGAGGGGUUUGAGUCUGCCAGACAUUUUUAUAAACUGGUUAGUUGAGUGCAUAUCUACCCCUACUUUUUCUAUUGCAAUCAAUGGAACUUCUAGCGGUUUCUUCAAGAGUAAAAGAGGACUAAGGCAGGGAGACCCUCUCUCUCCUUAUCUCUUUGUGCUUUCUAUGGAAGUGUUCUCAAAGCUUCUUAAGGCAAGGUACUCUUCUGGCUAUAUCUUCCAUCAUCCCAAAACAUCAGAUCAGGAUAUCUCUCAUCUGAUGUUUGCGGAUGACGUGAUGAUAUUCUUUGAUGGUGGAAGCUCCUCUCUACAUGGGAUAACUGAGACUCUAGACGACUUUGCUGGUUGGUCUGGUUUGACUAUGAACAGGGACAAAACUGAUCUAUUCCUUGCAGGAGUUGAGGAGGUUGAAGCUGCAACAAUUGAAAACUAUGGUUAUCCUAAAGCUUCUCUACCUAUUAGAUACUUGGGAUUGCCUCUUAUGUGCAGGAAGCUAAAGAUCAGCGAAUAUGCAACUUUGGUGGACAAAAUUAGAGGGAGGUUUACUAGCUGGGCAAUCAAAACCUUGUCUUUCGCAGGAAGACUCCAGCUGAUUGCAACAGUCAUCACCGGCAUGGUUAUUUUCUGGAUUUCAACGUUUAAGCUACCGAGAGGUUGUAUAAAGAAAAUUGAAUCCCUUUGUUCAAGGUUUCUCUGGUCUGGAGGGAUCGAAAAUAUGCAUAAAGCAAAAGUAGCUUGGGCUACUGUUUGUUUGCCAAAAUCUGAGGGAGGGCUCGGUCUUAGAAGAUUCACGGAAUGGAAUAUUGCAUUGAACCUUUUGGUCCCUUAAUACAUCUGCUGGGGGAAGGCGGACCUAGAGACUUGAGGAUUCCUCUCUCAGCGGCUGUAGCGGAUGCCACGCAAGGCACCAGUUGGAACUUGCCUUCCCCUAGAUCUCAACAAGCUCUUGAGUUACAUGCUUAUCUCUCUACAGUCACUAUUCCUCUGCAAUCUAAUAUCCAUGAUAAUUAUGAUUGGGUAGUGAAUGGGGAAAUUUGCAAUGGCUUCUCUUCUACUAAGACUUGGGAUGCGCUGCGUCAUAGAGAGGAGGAAAAAAGCUGGGCUCCUCUAAUUUGGUUCAAGGGUGCUACCCCAAGAAACUCCUUCCAUAUGUGGAUCUCUAACCUAAACAGGUUGCCCACUCGUGCAAGGUUAGUGUCAUGGGGAAUGCAAGUCUCCCCUCUCUGCUGUUUGUGCUCUUCCUAUCCAGAAACUAGAGACCACCUUCUUCUCUCCUGUGGGUUUAGCUCUGAAAUCUGGAAUCUGGUACAGACAAGACUAAGGCUGCCUAUUUUGCUGUUCCAAGACUGGGACUGUCUCCUCCUUUGGCUCAAGCUCAGCACUGCUUCUUCUCCUUCUAUCCUCCGAAAGCUAGCUGCUCAAGCCACUGUAAAUGCGUUGUGGAAACAGAGAAACAAUCUGCUGCAUAACCAUCUAGUCAUUCCUCCGACCAUCGUCUUCAAAGCCAUCGACCGAGAGAUCGUAAACACCAUCUCUGCAAGAUGUCAUCGCAAAAGCUUCCGAAAGCUAAUGCGUUUAUGGAUAUGAUUUGUAGCAAAUCCUUUGAGAUCUGUUGUUGCUUCCUUGUUUUUUCUCUUUUUGCCAAGGAACCAAAUCUUAGGUUUUCUAUUGUAAAUCCGAACCCCUUUCAUUUUAUAUGAUAUUUACCAGUUAGCAAAAAAAAAAAAAUGAAGGUGAUAAAAAUAAACUAGAACUGAAGUUUUGUAUUAGAAUCAUGAUUUCUGCUCGUAGAUCAUAUUAGGGCUUAAGAACUCAAGAACACAUAACAAAGUGAGAACAUAUUUUUUUUUGUUUUUUAAACUGAAAUUAGUUAUACUAAUCCAUUUAAGAUAUACACUUUGAGAGGUGUAUUCAAAGUAGAAUUCUAAGAUAUUUGUGAAGAAUUUAUAAAUCAUAUGUUAUUCAAACAUUGAUUUUAAAAAAUCUCAUGAAAUCCAUUGUUAUUGAAAUAAUUAUUUCAAAAUCCACUGUUAUUGAACACAAUUUGUGGAUUUGGUUUGUAAGGAUUUUGAAGGAUUUGAGAGGAUUUGAGAGGAUUUGAGAGGAGUUCCUUAGUUAAAAAUCCAAAAAUUUAAAUUUCAUGGUUUUAUGUGAUAUUUGAAAAGAUUUUACAAAAAUCAUAUGAAUUUCCCUAAAAUCGUCAAAAAAUUUUAAAAAACUCAAGAAAACCCAAAUCACUUUAAAUUCUACUUUUAAUACGACACCCUUAUAUAUCACCGGCUUAAUUAAUUACACUUACAUAAUGACUAUAUAAAAACCGAUCCUCAAUAAAAAAAAUGUUUCAAAAACAAAAUAUAUAUAAUAAUGAUGACUCAUCCUUGACUCUUUUUUGUUUCAUGAUGAUUUUAGUAAGAAAAUGUCGAUGUGUUCAGCUUGCAAAAAUUAAAUGACAUCAAUCAUGGUACAUAUACUAAUAAACAUUUGAAAUGUUGAAUCUUUUACUAACAAAAAAAAUACCAAAUUAACAUUUGAUGCGCAAUAUUGUUUUGGUUAGCUAUUUGAUGCCCAACAUCACUAUUUGAGUAGGUCACAAUAAAAUAAAACCUCAAUAAAUCCUAAAAUAAAUAAAAAGGGAGACAGACGCGUAAAAAUUGUAAUAAAUUAUUGUCUAGACAGUUUAAAGCCCACGUAUUGAAGUCAUCAACAUGGCACGCCACUUUUGUUUUUCUAAAUUGGCUUAUUAAUUGUCCCAAAACCCAACUUUUUGAAAUUACAUAUAACUUUCAAUUUAUUGGCAAAUGCAGAAUUCUUGGUCUAAAUAUAAUUUUAGUAUGAUUUUUAUCAUUGUUGAUCAUUUUAUAGGAUUUAAAUAACAAUUUUGUAUAUAUAAUUAAUAAAUAUUGAUGUUCCACAUAAACUUUUUAUUAUUAAACAUAUUGCGUUAAACAGUAAAAUAGUGGUUCUCACCUUUGUAUAAUUUGUAACGAUGUCAAAAAAAAAACACAAUCUUUUAAUUAUUCUUUUACAUUCAUUAGAAAAGUUUUCCAAUCUUUGUUCACGAAUUUCCAAUUAUAAUUAGUCGAAUAUAAUCAUGUGGUUUUGAUUUGAACCCAUAAUACCAAACCAAAAAUUAAGUUGAAUUUUUAGUUUCAGUGUUCUUGACUAAACCGAUAAACAUAUUUUUAAUUAAGGUUUGGUUAGCGUCUAAGAAUAUUGGUUUGGUAUUGGUUCAGGUAAAAUAGAUCAAUUUAUAUUGUAAUUGAUUUUCUUAAACUGAACUAUACCAAAAUAGAUCCAUGUAUACCAAAAUAAAAUCAGAUUUUAGUAUAACAUUUUUACCAAUAUUAGAAUUUAGCUGAACUGAAGUAUUACAAUUUAACCAACUUAAUAAACUUUAACCAAAUUUCAUUUUUAAGGUAAACAUAAAUAUUAAUUACAAGCCAGUAAUAGUAGUGAUUUCCAUCUAACAAAACUACAAAGUACCCCUAGGAAUGGUAUCCGAACCGAAAUUUUGGAACAAAACCAAACCAAAAUUUUUGUUUUUCGGUCCGAUUUCAGUUAAAAGAAGAUAACUGAUCGGAAUAGAUUAUAAUUUAUAAUUGGUUUCGGUUUGGUUUGUCCUAACCGAUCAAAAUAUAAAUUAACCAAUUUCUUUUACAAGGUAAACGUAGAUAUUAAUUACAAGCCAGUAAUAGUAGUGAUUUCCAUCUAACAAAACUACAAAAUAUUUCAUUUAAGGAAAUACGUUUUAUUAUCAAACAUGUGUAAGUCACUAAAAGAAAACAUAGCUACUUUAAUUAUUUGCUUUAGGUUUUGUUUUGUUUUAUGAAUUAUUCUGGGAAAAGGAUUAUUUUGUUUUGUUUUGUUUUAUGAAAACAUAGUUUGAACCAACCAUUGGCAAAACUCAUAACUCUUUCUCUAACAUGGUGAGAUCAUAUCAAAGUUUCUAUUAGCAUUUUUGGUAUAUUUAGUGUUAAGAUUUCAAAUGGUCAUAUAUAUAUAUAUGGACCCAUUUAAUUAAGAAGAUGUGGUUUCGAAACAUCUUGUUUGGUUGAGUAUUUAUUUACAUGUUUGGAAGAAGUUGAAUCUCUGAUAUAUAUAGGUUUUAAUAGGAAUCAUUUUAAAUUUUUGGUAAUUGUACGAAAUAAAUCUCUUAAAUAAAAAAGUAACAGUACGAAAACCUAUAAUUUAUUAACUCUUUCAGUUAGAAAACGUGUAAUAAAUUUAAAUAUGGGCGUCAUAGUACAUGAAAUAUACAUUGGACCAAUAAAAAACAAAAAUUGGAUUUUAAAAUCAAAUAUGAAUUAGCGAACAACUGGUUGUUGUUUUGUUUAAUUUCAUGCAUUAGACCAAAUGGAUUUUGCUUUGAUAAGAGAAAUAGAGAAUAUAGAUAUUAUACUAUGCAAUUCUCCAAAUACCACCAAAAUGAGUUUAUUUUUCCAAACAUAUCUAAAAUAUCAUUAUUAACUAUAUUUUCCAAAAAUUUCAUUAAAAUGUAUUUUUAUACCAAAAAUACCACAAAACUAAACCUAAAUUUUUAAUAGUUUAAAACCAAAACGAUCUUUAGAAACAUGUAUUCGAACAAUGCUCGGACCAACAAAAUCAGUGAUGUCUGCAAUUAAGUCUACCACAUUUGUAGUUUCCGGAAGAUCUCUGUCCUUCCCUAAAAAGAGCACUAGUAGACGUGAAAAUCAACCCAAAUGUUAGAGUAUCAAGAUGAGCGAAAGUGGUGUAGUGAUUAAGAAACGAGAAAUAAUGGGUGAUCAAGAUUUAUGGGUGUUUGCUAUAGUGAGUCUUAGGAUAAUCAAAUCGAAGAUUUCGAGAAGAAAAUAUUCCACCGUUUUACUUAACUCUAAUGCUCCAUUAUUGUCACGGUGUCAGCUGACUUAUCAUCGUCAAACGGUUAUCUAACAUUGUUACGGUAAAUGUUGACUUUGGCUAAUAUCAUAUAAUUGAAGUAAAGAAUUUUAGUUUUUAAUGGGUUUAGGUUGGUAUUUAUCGGAUAUUAUAAUUUGAGUAUAAAAAAAGCUGUCAAAAAGUUGUGUGGUUUGAUUUUGACCAUAUUCAGUACAAAACAUAUGUAACAAAAACAUCAAAAUUACAUAUGUUAAAACAUAAAAAUGAACUGAAAACACACUUCAAAGAUAUAAUAAAACUCUAAUUGGAUACACAAACUUUUUAUCUACUGUUAAUGCAAAUAUUGUUACACGUUUUCACCAUGAUAUGCUUACGACGUCUUAAUCUAUACUCAAAUUUGGUAGAACAUUAGUACCCAUUCUCACAUGCAUGAAGCAAUGGGUGGUUGGAAAAUAUUGACUUUGACAUGACGCUAUUUCAGCGAAUUAUGUCGGUGUGUACAAAAUAAAUUUUGUUCCAAUAACACCUAAGCUUAGGUCCUAGAUUUUAACUUCUAACGCAAAUUAUUUACAAAAAAAUAUAUGGAUCGUACGAUAAAAACUAAAGCAAUCUUUGAAUCAUAUUUAAAAAAUUGAGUAUUUUUGCUAUUUAUGGUGUUUUAUAUUUUUAUAUUGACCAAGAAAAAGCCACGAACAUAGCUUUACAAAUAGUAUUUUUCGUCUAUUACAUCAUCAUUUAUACUAAUAUUUGAUAUAAUCUUAUCCUAUUACAAUGAUAUUCAACUACGGAAAAUGUAAACAAAACAAUACACAUAAAUUAUAGACAUUUUCUUCAUCUUAAUCUUCAAGCUCUUCCAUUUGCUUUAGCUUUGUUGUUCACCUAUGAAUGUGUAUCGUAUAGAUUAAGAGGCCCAAUAAUGAGUCUUAUCUCAAAAUGAUCUACGGCCCGAAUAUUUCUUUACGAGUUGAUGUGUUGUCGUGUUAAUGUAUUAUUUUGGUAACAUGUGAAUAUUGAAAAGAAAAAGGAACCAAUAUUUCCCCUUGAUAAUAUGCGGACAGGUACAAAGUUUGCGUGCCAAAAAAUCCGCUUUUACGUCCAAUUUGGUUUAUUUGUUUUGUUUUCUUUUUUAGAUACCAAUUUCUUUUCUUUAUUUAUAAAUUUAUAGCUAAGAGCAUAUACCAAGUCAAAGUCAACUUUAGCCAACCAUGUCGGAAAAUAUCAUUCCGUUCAUAUUGCUUGGGUAGUUGUGUGUAUACAUAUCAUCAAGAAUUAAAAUUAAUAUGGUCUCGAAGAUCAAAACAUAUUCUUACAAGACAAAAAGAAAAAGAAAUCUUGAAAGUUCAAGAUCCAAACAUAUCAUAAUAAAAAUGAAACAAGAUACUCAUAGAAAUGUAUAUUUAUAACAUACAUAGAAAACAAAAUAAAAAGGUUAUACAGAAACAUUGAUUUUUCAAAGAGAGAUGAACCCUUCACUAACAAGCAAACCAAAGAAGAGUACGAAGAGACCAGCACCAAGAGACUUGCCAGGAUCAACAUAAGUCUGAGAAUAAGCACCAAGAGUCAACGCAGCACCAACAAGUCCGAUCACCAAAGAUUGCAUGUUUCUUCUGCUCACACUUCUUUUUCUUGGCUUCACCUUCUCUUCUUGAUCUACUACAACUUCUUCUUGUUCUUCUGGUUUCUCUGUCUUUCUUCUUUCUCUCACCAUUUUUUUUGUUUGGAUUCUUUGAUGAAUGGAGAGAUUCUGAUUUAUGAUUCUAUGAUGCUUGGUUUUUGGUUUGUAUGUGUUGUGAGUUUGAUGUUAUUAUAAGUUAAUGAUGGAGACAAAAUGUGGUCUUUUGGAGAUUGCUUUGAGGCCUUUUGAGAGGUAGUAAAGUCAACUCUUUAUAGAAGAGUAAGUGGUGGGUAUAGAUCCAAGAUUAUUAUUUUAACUACUAUUUUUUUUUUAUAAGACAACAAGUUGUCAGGGUUGAAGUUGGGCUAAUGUAUCAUGUUGACAAUAAUAAAAUGUUACUGUAAAAUUGAUAAAAAUAAAAAUUAUAAGGUUGUUGUUAUAUUAAAUGUUCAAAAUUUUUGACGGGUCAAAAAGAUUAUAUUUUACAUAGAAAUAAGAAAAAUACUAAUGUUAUCAUGUUUUGUUUAAUUUUUGUCGCACCUGCUAGUUAAUCAAUCUUAAAUUUUCAGUAAAUAACUCAAUUUCAACCGUCAGAUUUGUCUUUUAAAUUUCUAAAACCGCUUCAAAUCCUAAAUGCAUGCGUCUGUAAACUCUCACAACCGCAAACGUUACAUUUAAACCCGUGAAACUUUUAAUUACAUCUUAAAUUUUAUUAAAGAUAUUUAUUCAUUAAGAUACACCAAAGAAUUCCCCUUUUUCCCUUUUUCAUGUUACGCUCUGUAUUUUACCAAAAAAACAAGUUGAGACAUCGACAUAACCAUAUUUUGGUUUUCUCCCUAUAAAUCAAAUAAAUUGUUCUCAAAUAACAUACACCCUGAUCCUUGGUAUGAUAGUGCCUAUCCAUCGAUGAACUUACCAUUUGCUACUAGACUAAGGUCACUUCACAGUUUCUUGGCAUGAGUGUGAUGGUCCCGCUCUCUAUAUAUUUGUGGGUAUUAAGCUAAUGGGCCGGCCAUUGUGGCCCAAUGUUGACAAAAAAAAACCUACACCCAAAAUAGUAUUAAGAAAGUAUAUUUUCACGUUAGAUGCCACUAUAAAUAUACAGGUUAAAAAAAUCAAUUUAUAAUAGUCAUAAAGAUAAAAAUGUCAAAUACUACCCACUACAAUUUAAUUACGUUCAAAAAGAAAAAGAAAAUGCUUUCAUAAUUUCAAAAAAAAAAUAUUACUAUGCAUCGUAAUCAAAUUGAACAAAGAAGAUUUCAUAUCUAACUUACCAUAUUAAUUUAUUAUUAGUCAACAUAUUUCACCUCUCAUCUUUGUUUGAUUACUACUUUAUAUUCUACAUGUACUUUGUAAAUUUUUCAAGAUCAAGCUUGAUCAAUACAAUUCAAUUGUCUCUUAUUCAAGCUUGAUCAAUUCAAAGCCUCAUACAUUAAGUUCAACAUUUUACAUUGUCUUUAAGUUCUUGACAAGCUUAUCCAAAGAGUUGUAUGAGGUACCCCCACUUUUCACAGAGGCUUUGAGCUUUUCUUUUAGAACAAGGGCUCUCUCCUGCAUCAUGGCACCUUCUUCAUCCACUAUUAACCUCUUCACAGCUCUCUCAACUUCUCCUCUAUCAACUUCACUACCUUCCACCAGAAACCCUAUCCUCCAAACACUUUCUACAUACAUAGCAUUCAACUUCUGCUCGCCAUGAAAGGGCUUGCAAAUCAAUGGAACUCCUUGUGCAAUGCUCUCAAGUAUUGAGUUCCAUCCACAGUGGCUCCAGAAUCCUCCCACUGCAUGAUGUCCAAGUACUUCUAUCUGUGGUGCUCGUUUCACAAUGUAUCCUCUUUCUAAGACCAUUUUACUGACUUCUUCUGGCAAUGACUCUAUCCCAUUGAAGCCAGGGAUCAAAACUGGUCGUAUGACCCAUAAAAAAGCUGGUUGCUAUUACACAAUCCCCAAGCCAUCUCAAGCACUUCCUUUGGUUCCAUUUGAACUACAGUUCCCACGCUUACAUAUAUAACUGACCGCGGUUUCUGCUUGUUCAGCCACUCAAUAGAGCUUCUGUCCUCUUCAAGUAAACUAGAAGGUUGGGAAGCUAUCAUGUGAAGUGGCCCUAUAUGGUAUAUAGGAAUUCCAAUGUUUUGUUCCAUCAAUGACAAAGAUGAGCUCUCUAGACAGCUCACCGCGUUGAUGAUAACAGCCGAAGCUGUUCAUGUGUUGACUACUUCCCUAUAGAGCUCAAAAACAUGUUCUAUUGGCCCCAUUCUUGACUUUGCUAGGUCUUUGUAUCGUAAAGGAUACAAAUUUUCCACCACCUGUUCUUGCAUUUCAGGAUCAACAAAGUAAAAAACAAAAUAGUGAAACUAGUGGAUUCAGGAUGUGUUACUAUCUAUAUAUACAUUUUGAAGUAUAUUUUGUACUAAAAUCUAUUUUGGGUUUAUUUUAUAAUAUUUGCAUAAUUAAACCCUUGCCAUUUGAAUUAAUAACAAAACUUAAAAGUAAAAAUAUUAUAACUAAAUCACAUGCAAAUCGCAAAAUUAUAAACAAAUAUUUAUUUCAUAAAAAAAAUCCUAAAAUCUCUUUCUAAUAAAUCAAAUCUCUCUCAAAUAUAUUUACAUAAUCUUUUUUUAAAAAAACUGUAUUAUUACAUAAAACAUAUGUAUAAUAAAAAUACAAUUUUCCGCUAAAAAUAUUAAAAUUUAAUAAUAUUAUACAUAAAUAUGAUUGAACGGGGUUCAGUUUAUAUAAAUAUGAUUAUAUAUUUCUUAUGGGUCAUCAUGAAAAAAAAAAUGGUUCCCCGAUUUACUGCAUGUUAAGACCUAGUUAAUAUUGUUUAAUCUGAGUACCUUCCAUGUCGACCAAGAACUCGUCAGCAUUGAGUUUGCUUAGUAUACAACAUGAAACACAAUUUGUAGCACAUUGAGUGCUGAAGAUGAUCCACUAGGAAGAUCAAACUCCUUAGCUACAGCUCCACUAAAGAACAUGAACUCGUCGUAGAUGAUGCAAGCAAUAUCACUCGUCGUAGGGAUCAAAAACUGAGCUAUACACCAAGUGCUAAUAGCUCAAUUGGUAAAGAUCUCUGGCAAAAGCUUAGAGGUCGCUGGUUCGAAUAGCGCUUGGGACGAAACCAUAUAACAUGCUUUGGUUUCGGGUCUGAAUGGAUGUAUGGGUUUCAGCCCAGAACCUCUUUGAUUAUUCAAAAAAAAAAAAAAAACUGAGCUAUACAGUCUUUAAAGCUUGUUUCACUGGUUUUGUUGAGCUUUAUCAUAAACUCCAUCCCUCCGAGUCUUUCGAGUUCGGACUCUGGUAAGCUUUCUUUUAAGGUGAUAAACUGAAAACCAGGGAAUUUUUGAUAAGAGGAAGAGCUUACUUGAUUGAAGUGUCUCUCAACAACUAUAAUCGAGAAGCCCUCCGAGUAAAGGGCUUUCCCAAGUUGCAUCAUUGGAGUAACAUGACCUUGUGCUGGUAAUGGAACUAACACGAUCCUUCUCUUUGCUUCUAUUUUCUCCAUUGCUUAACCUCUUUUUUCUCUUGUAAUCAUCCAAAUUAUUAUUAAGAUCAUCCAAAUAUGCAAAUAUUAUAUAGUUAAGUCUUCCUCGUGUGGCAACUAACCUAACUACACGUUAAGAGAGUUGGUUGGUUUGUUUUGGCUCAUAUAAGAGUUGGUGGUUUUUGGUUUUGUUUUAGAGAUUUAGAUAAUAUACUAUAAUUAAAAUGUCAUGAGGUUUACAUUAUACUAUCCAAAUAUAUAUGAAAAAAUUUCCUUGUAGUGGUCCUUCAAAUUAUUCAUAGAAGUCUAAGGAGUUAGUAUACAAUUACAACAAUACAUUUACUUCCAAAACUAGCAACACAUAUGGUUCUCCAAUCUUGAUCCAAUUAAUUAUUAGAUCAAAGGAUUGGUAUAAAAUUUACGUAUUAUGAGUUUUUUUGGUUAGAAAAAAGUGUUACGAAUUUUGCCAUAAAUUAGAAAAUAAUUGAUGUUUAAUUAUGCAAGAAUCUCAUUUUCUCACUCUAAAAUUUUACGCAACUAUAAACUAAUAUUACAUUCAGUGAGUUUAAAUAUUUUUAACGGACUUUUCUUGAUCUUGUGGCGAAUCUAGAAAGCUCGGAAUAAUAUUAUUUUAAUAAAAUCUAGAAAGCUCUACCAAAAUAACUAUCCAAGCAAAAACUGAAACAAAAGAAUGGUUAAACGUUCAAAAUUCCUCAAAAUAGACAUCAGUUCCUUGAACACACCAUGAUUCAUCAUAGGAGAAACCGGUCUACAAUAUAUUAAAAUGCAAUUAUGAUUCUGGUUUUGACAAUAUGACUGGUCAAGUCAUUAGUGGAUGGAUUGUUCGUGAUCAUUUAGGAGAAGCAAAAUAUUGGGGUUCCGUAGAGGUGGGAGGUGCUCAUUCACCUUUAGAGACAGAAUCAAAAAUACUUAUUUUUGCUAUACAACAAAUAUGGAUCUAAUUUUACUCAACAUCUAAGAAGAACUCACUUGGUUUCUUAAAUGGUGGAUGAUAGAGGAGGAAAACAACCCAACUAAAAGAAGGAUGCAGCACCGAAAGAAACGGCAAUUGGUGAGAUAAAGCGCUCAGAGCUAAUUCGAACAAAACAUAAGGAAGAGUUUGAUUGAGAAGGGAUUGGGUGGCCAGGAGAUAGAUCUCGAUUAGGUAGGAGAUUUUCUUUUUCAUUUUAUAUGUUUUAGCUUUAAUUUAUUUGUUUUUUUACUUUUGAUUUAUUAUUUAUUGUAAAUUAUGAGAAUUAUUACAAUAACGAUUCUACUACAGAUUAAUAAAUCUGCACUAUUUGGACGUCGAACUUAAGACCUUUUGGGGUAGAAACUUUAAACAACCAUUGGUCAACCACUACACCAAAGGAGCUUCCACUAAUUUAUUUGUUUUACAUUUUUUUUAGUUUUUUCCUUUUUUAAUAUUUAAUGAACCUUUUUUAAGCAUAUAAAAAAAACCACAUUCUCUUCAGGCCUGUCCCUUCACCCAUUCUUGUGAUACAUUUGUAUUGAGCCUCAAAAUUUUCAAGCCCACUUUGUGAGAAAUUUGUUUUAACCUAAUAAACUAAAAUUAAUAUUUAGUAAACAAAAGGCCCCAUAAUUUGUAAAAUGCCUCAAAAUUAGCAAAAAAAACCUUAAUAUUAACCAAAAAAAAUCUUAUAAUUAGUAAAAACAUAUUUAACGAAAAUAACCAAAAAUUAUGAAAAUCUCACCAUUAGAUAAACAAAAUAUAGCAGUUUUAGUUAUAAAAAACCCCUAAUUUGUUUUUUGUAUUUGACCCCCAAAUUUACAGGGCCGACACUGAUUCUCGUUGGCAUGAAGAUCACAAAUUGGCAUACCAAAUUAUUUUUUCCCAGUUUCUGACAUUUUAGUCUCGUCCAUGUUAACUCUUGAACCUUUAUCUUUUAUUAAAUUUCCAUUUCACAUAAGGAUGAGUAAAGUAACUAAUUCAUAUCAAAUUCUAUAUGUCGCUUGGUUCUUAUGUCGCUUUAAUAAUAUAAGAAUGACUCUUGGGUCUUAUGUCGCUUUUACUUUUGUAGCCGUUUUUAGAAUGCUAUUUAUUCAGUUUUGGAUGCAGCAUCUCCGGACCGUAGAUCACCAAGUGUGUUCUCUGAUUUUUCAAAGCCUCAUUUCAUGUUUUAGCCCUAGUUUUAGUUGCUUAACUGUUAUGUAUGCUUCUAUUAUUUCCUUUCUUGCUAACGGGUUGACAUAUGUAGAUGCAGUUUCUUUGGCCUUUGUAGCUUCUCUGCUGUAUUUGCUGAACCAUUUCUCCAUUGUUGGAAAGUAAAAUUAUCUAUAAAAAAUUUAGUUUGACCCAAAAAAAACUCGAACUUAAAUUUUCUUCUUUCCAACUACACAUGAAUUAUAAAAAUAGUCUAUGCUCAAUAUAUAGGAAAAUAAUUCAUAAAAAAAAAGUUCAAAAAAUAACUUUAAAUUCAUAAUGAUAAUUGUUUUUAACAUUACAAGAACAGCUGAACAUGAAAUGUUGGAACACAAACAAAAUAAUAAUAUACUUGAGUUAGUUAAUUAUUAAUAUUCCACAAAAAAAAUAGGUCGCCUAACACAAACAAUGAAAUAGAGAUCAUCUACAUUACUAUAUAUAUCCUUUGGCAUAUCGACACGUAACUUAUUUCAAAUCGUUUAUUUAUGUUUCGUGCUAGGAAACGGGUCAAACUCCACUAAAGUACUUUGAUUAAAUUAGUAAGAACAAAGAUUAAUUAGUGCUUACCAUUUGAGGAACCAUUGAGAUGUAUUGAGAACAACUACUACUAAACACGUCUGAUGUUUGGUCUUUGCCUUACAUCUUUGUAGAUCAUGACGUUGACCAACGACAGUAUAAACCAAUUGCCAUGUAAAAACAGGUUUUUUAGUUUGAACUAAUUUUACAUUUAAUUCAAUAAAAAUGAUAUAUUGGACGGAAAAAUGUCGUUUAACCCAUAAAUUUCAGAAAAAUUUGAAAACAUUUAUGGAUUAAACACUUCAUAAAUUUUCGUUUAACCCAUAAAUUUUCGUAAAAGAAACAAGCUAAAAAAAUAAAGGCUUUUGAGAGACAGAAAAAUCGCUCCCUUCUCUCUCUCUUAAAACCGUAGCCGCUUUUUUCAGAUCUGCGAGGGAGGAGACGAUAUGACCUCCAAUCUUCUUUUAAGGGCUUAUGCUCCUAUCCCUCCCCACCCUCUCUGAAUUUUCCAGUCCUUCAUUAUCGACAAGUUUGUUUCUCGGUUCGGUGGUUGGGGCUGGCCUAGUUUCUUUGGUGGUUAUGUGGAGUGGUAGAUCCGCCUUAGACGCCUUAUGUGGUCGAGAUAGACGCUAGGAGCCGCCUUGCUGUUUCGCCAUUGCUGAAGACUCAGUGGUUAGGUCUAAGGUGGCUCGGCUCGCGGUGUUAGUUUCGGAUCUGUAGCAGGUGGCGAAAGUCAAAAGGCGGGUAGGAGGGUUCACCUUUGUUGGAUUGAUUAACGACCAGUUCUUCUCAGAUAUGUGUGUUGGCUGUAUCGGAGAGUUGUUGGCAGUUAUGGUAAUGUUGCGCCAAGAACCUAACUGCUACCGAGUUUGGUUUUCGAUCCGCCCGGUUUGAAGCAAGUGCUGGCUACGAUAAGAGGUUGGAAAGCUCGUGCAAGAGAUGAUGGAUGAAUUUGAUGCCCUUGUUGCUAGGUAUGGGACAAGAUGGUGGUGGGCACAGUUAUCUUCGAUUUGGUUCAGUCUGGAAAAGGCGUUGCGGGUAAGAUCCCACGUUGGUAAUAGGGUUUUGGUCCGAAUUCGUUUGCUUUGGCUGAACAACUGGAGCCACCGAAGGAGAAGCAAAGUAAUCCUUUUGCAAAUGCCAAAAUUCUUGGACGGGAGUCGCUGUUGCCGAUAGUCAAACCAGGAUCCAACCUUAUCGCCGGCAAAAUUUUCCGAUUUGCUUUUCCCUUUGUUAACCGUUGGGCCUUGAAGCCUAUUUUGUAUUUGCCCAUUGGAAUUUAAUAAAUAAAAACUCUUUAAAUUUUUUUUAUCAAAAACGUUAUUUAAACUAUUAAACUUUUCUAUAGUCAUUUAAACAUCAUAUUUGUUAACAAAGCCAAAAUAGACAUAUCGUUUUAAUUGGAGCAACUAACACACAUUUACUCCGUUAUUAAACAAUUUGUGAUUGACAAAUUUAAUUUUCUUGAUUAAAAAAAAUAAUAAUCAAGUAAUUCAAGAAAACCAAAUUUUGAAUGACUAUAAAUGAGUAAUAUGACCAGAUUGAUGAAUGAUUAUUCAAAUCAAAUUACAGACAAUUUAGAAGUUGCUGUAUAUUAUGGAAAUUUUGAAUGUAUCAUUAUUUAAUAAACUAAAACAUAAAACCCACAAUGUUCAUGAUAUAUAGAGUAUGAACUCUGGACGUAAUCUUCUACUUGUUGUAGUCUUGUAGUAAUUUCUUAAUAUACAAGGCUCAGUCAUUAUUGUUCCCAGCUCGAGCUCUUUCCCAAUAUAGAAACUAAAAAAUGUUAUCAAUAUGAUAUAAUAAAACUAUAAAUAAACACUGCUAUUUUUUCUUUUUUUAUAGAUAUUUAUAAUUUAAAAAUUAGACAAAAAAACGUCAUCAGUGAUGUGAUAAGAUUGUUCUUAUCUCAUAAACAGAAUUGGAUGGGGAACCAAACCCACAGGUCAAAAUUGAAAGCUUGGAGCAAUAUAGAUAUUUAAAGUUUUUGAAACAGAAAGAUAUAAUUAUUUUUUUAAUAAAAUAAGAAAAAAUAUCUUCAAAAAAAUUAACAUCUUAAGUUGCCUAUUGAACUACGCGUCUUCAUAAUAGUAGCUAAAUAUAGCAUUAAACCAUUAUAAUAUAUUUUUUGGAAUGAUGUUAUGUUAUGGUUGGUCCAUGUCUACAUCAUAUUUGUAUAAAUUAUAUAAACUGAGAUAUUAUUAAAUAACUUUAGAUAAUAGAGAUUUAAAUAGUUUUAUAAAAGAAUGAUACCAAAACAGUUACCAAAUUAUUGGUGAAUAAUAUUGUGUUCUUCUUCAUAUGAUACAAACUAGUAUAAGAGCUUGGCUUCUCAAACCAUUUUUAUUCUCUCUUACAAAAAAAAAAAAUGGAUUACAAGGUAUCAAGAAUUGGGGAGAUAGUAGAAGAAGAUUCAGACAAGAUUGAUUUGCCACCUGGUUUUAGAUUUCACCCAACAGAUGAAGAACUCAUAACUCACUAUCUAAGACCAAAGGUUCUAAACUCUUUCUUCUCUUCUUUAGCCAUUGGUGAAGUUGAUCUUAACAAGGUCGAGCCUUGGGACUUGCCAUGUAAGUUAUUUAUUUUCUUGGUUUCUAAAGAUUUCUCUGUUUUUUUCUUUUAUUAUAACUUCUAAUUACUCUGUUUAUCUUUUAGGGAUGGCUAAGAUUGGGGAGAAAGAGUGGUACUUCUUCUGCGUAAAAGACCGGAAAUACCCGACCGGUUCAAGGACGAACCGGGCUACAAAAUCCGGUUAUUGGAAAGCAACUGGUAAAGAUAAAGAGAUCUUCAAAGGGAAAACUUUAGUUGGUAUGAAGAAAACUUUGGUUUUUUACAAAGGAAGAGCUCCUAAAGGAGUUAAAACCAAUUGGGUUAUGCAUGAGUAUCGAUUAGAAGGCGAAUUCGCCAUCGAUGAUCUCCCUAAAACCGCUAAGGUAAUACAUAUCAUAUCAUAGUUGUGUUAAUUUUUGUUAAGGACUGAUAUGUAUAUUUUGAUUUAUGAGGUUUUUACAUUUGUGUUGUUUGUGAAUACAGAACGAAUGUGUUAUAAGUCGUGUGUUUCAUAAACGGGCUGAUGGUACAAAGAUGCAUAUAUCGGGUUUAAUGUUCGGUUCAGGGGUUAACAAAUUUGAACCGGUUGGUUUACCUCCGUUGAUGGAUUCUUCUCUAUAUCUUAAGAACAGAGAAGACUCUUUGUCUUUGUUUUCUCACGUGACCUGUUUCUCCGACCAAACAUAUGACGACAAAAGUCUUGUGUCUGAUCCUCUGUUACUGCAAGAAGAUUCUUCUAUACUGAAGAUGUUGCUUGACAAUGAAGAAACACAAUUCAAGAAGAAUCUUCAGAGUUCCGGUUCAUCGGAGAGUGGACUAACCGCGAGUUCUUGGCAUGGUCAUACUCCUUAUUCGAGUGGUCCGGUGAAUCUUGAUUGUGUUUGGAAUUUCUGAAUUUGGGAAAUUGGAACAUUAAAAAUUGGAGUAUGGGAAACAAAUCAUUAGGGGGGGUAUAGGGUUUAACAAUAUAUUUGUUAUGUGUUUGCUUUAGAUUCUUGAUUUUGAAAGACUCUUAAGAUAUACAAAUGUGAAUAUUGAAAGAUUCUUGUAACAUUUUGUAAAAAAAAGAACCAUUGUACAGUAGUUGAAAUCUACUCUCUUACAUGUUAUUGUUUUAAAGAUUAGAUUAGUUAAAAAAACCAAAAAGUUGUUUAGUGUUUCUAUCAAUAAUGAUAGUCUUGCAAUGUAACAAUGUUUACUUGAUAUUUGUUUAACAUGAUUUCGACUAAGUGAUCAUCAUCUUCACUUUUACUUGAGAGAUGAAACCAGAGAGAUCUCUUACAUAAGAGAAAGGUUUUGUGGUGAGUACUUUGUUUGAGUUCCAAGAGAUAUUGCAUACACCAGCUUUGUGAACUGCCAAAAACACUUUUCAAACCAAAGAUUCCAACAUAUUUCUCAUCACAAUUCCAAGAUCAAGUACUACUCAGUUCAAAGCUCUUGUCUUUUCUCUUUACUCUCCUCACACAUAAAUUUCUAGUUUAUUCUGGUUUACUCUCCUAAAAGACCUUCUAAGGUCCUUGUUAGUUGUUACUUACGUCUAAUACAAUCAAGAAGCAAAGAAAGCUUUUUCUGACAUAGUGAUAGAACUAAUGAAGCUAAGUUUCUAAGGUUUGGUAGUGAGUGGUAAGUAAAUUGUAUGAGUUCCAAGUAAUUUGGCACACACAAGCUUUUCGAACUACCAAAAAGCUAUUUCUCACAAUGAUACCACUUGGUUAAAUGCUCUUGUCUUUGCUCUCCUCAUCCACACAUAAAUUUCUAGUUUCUUCUGCUAUUAUCAUCCUAUCAUCUUUGAAAUCCUCAUAGCAAUAUUACGGUGAAAAAGGUCUUCUCCAAGACUCUUGUGCAAUCACAUCUCACAUGUCUCACUUCCUAAGUAGUUUAAGAGCUAUUGAUGCAGGAACCCUACGGAUAUUAUUGAUUCAAAUUAACACAUUUUAGGAAGAAACUUACACAUCAAGGAACAUCAGAUAAUCCUACUGAACACUUACUUGAUUUUUUUCGUAAAAAGAAUUUCACAGCUACACCAUCUUAGGAGCAUAGAUAUUUAGGUACUCAAGCAAAGAAAACCCUAAAAAGGUUACUUGUUACUUACGUCCUAUAUAAAUCAAGAACCAAAGACAAAACUAUCAAGACAAAGUUUCAAGGUUCUUUCAACUAAGAAAUAAAACUUUAAGCUAAAACAAAGAAACACGAAUAAGGCUUCAGAGGGACAAAAGCAAAAAAUUUCAGGAGAAUACUGGCAACAGAGACAAGAACAAGAACCCUAAUUGAAUCGGGUCAAGUCAUAAGCUGCAAAGCGGAUCCCUAAUGUUAAUAUAUGCACAGAAAAUUAUUAGACAGAUUCCCCAAUCUUUAUUACAGGGAUGUCCCAGUACUUGUGCAAUAUCAUUCAUAAGCCUUUUUGAUGAUACUCAAAAUCAAGAAAACGAAAUAAACAGAGAACUAUAAAGAAAAACACAUAACAGAGAAAGACAGAAACGGCGGAAGCAAGUGUUUGUGUUGUCGUUAUGAUAAGCUUUUGAUUACAGAAGGUUAUAUAUAAAAAAUACUCACAAGUAAAACCCUAAUACUUAUGUUUUGUAGAUAAUUUGGGCUUGACCUAAAUUUAUGGGCUUUAUCUUGUAUGUUCUAUUGGGCCUUUACACACCCAACAUUCCAAGAUAGUAGACCAAUCCGCCUAGAUUAUUAUUUUAGGCUCACGAGGUCGUUGAAUAAAACGAAUUUCCAAGAAGAAUUCACAAGGCACCAUCUUAAUUCUUAAGUUACUCAUUUCAUAAGAUGGGAGCCAAAAAUAGUUUUUCUUUAGUCUAUUUGCCUUAUUUUUGGUUAAUGUUGAGAGAUCUCAACGAAUAAAAGAAAACAUAUAAUUUGUUAUUCGCGGAGAUUCGAUAAAUUACUCGCGUUUUUGCGUUUUUUAUAUCCUAAGAUGUGUUAGUCUGGUAUUUACGAGUGUUUACGCUAAACUUAAAAAUGUAUCUUUUAUAUACUAUAAAACUAAAUCAUUACUAAUAGCAACACAAAAUUUAUAUACAAAACUUUAUGUUUAAUACUUUGACAAUUUUCAACACAAAUCAAAGCCUAAAAGUUAGGUUUGAUGAAAGAUUUUGUCUCAUAGUUUAACAAUGUUAAAGAUUAAUCGAUUUUAAUUGCAUUUGCAACUUUUCUUUUACUAAUUCGACAAAGAUAAUAGGGGAAAAAACAAACAAAAGUUCAAAAACAGAACUAACAAUUAACUUCUCGUAAGAAAAUCAAAUUCUCACAUAUUAUUUUUCUUAGCUCUAACGUUUAAGUUUUGGUUUUAUAUAAAAACCCACAUUAAAAAAAAAGUCUUCAAAAUUUUGAUACCCUAAUAUGGAUCGGGCCUCUUCCAAUGAUUUCUAGUUUUAUCCAUAAGAUCAUAAGCUUCCACGAAAAUGAAAAAAGGACAAUCGUUCCCUGUUCCUCUCUACUCUCUCCUUCUACUGUUCUAAACAAGUAAAUCUAGAUUUGUUCGGCGACCUUAGUUUUCCAUUCCCGUCACUUGCUUUUUGAAUCUAGCGGUGGUCUAGUCUUCUUCUUCGUCGGUAGUGGUGUGGUGUCCACCCUUCGAAGUAGAUGAGGUCCCGGCAUGUCAGUAGGAGAGCUCCUCUGCGUCUCCUUGGGUUUGAAGAUGCCGGUAGGUUGUGACGGUUGCCUCUUGUGGCUUAGUCGCCGUGUUGGUCUCGCGCCUACGGCGGAAGUUGAAAGUGAGGAAGGUGGGUUUUACUGAUUUUUCUGUGAGGUUAACGGAAGAUCGUGUAUCUCGUGUGGGUAAGCUUUCGAUUGAACCUUCGACCUUAACCAUCCCCAUGACUUACUUCCUCCAGACCGGUUUGAAGAGGAUUAGAUCGGUUAUCAGAGUUUUGUCUUACCUAGAAAUGAAGGGUUUGAUCUGAUGUAGAUGAUUUGCUAGGAUCGGGAGCCAUCUGCGGCGUGUCGUGGUGAUUAUCUACAUCUGCAAUGUCAAUAGGUUCAGAGCUUCUUUUUCGGCAACGUUUUGAUUUUUCCGAUUUCCUUUUACUUCUGGAUAUCAAUUAUAUGUGUCGGCCCAGCCCAAUUAAGAGGGUAAUAUUAUUCAAGUGAGGUCCAACUAAAAAAAAAAAAAAAAGGCUUCCACGAUAUGAAUUGAUAUUUGAUAAAAAUAUUAGAUGCAAGGCGUGGGAAAUAUAUUAAGUUGAAAUGUAACAUUUUGUAAUCAUAAGUACACAAAGAAAAUUGAUUAAAAGAGAAGUCAUAAUUCAAUUGUUUGCGGGUCGUAAUCCAGGCUACCUCCGGUCUAUUUUUUAUUGUUAUUUUCUAUAUUUGUUAUUUUUUUGGUGGUUUGUAACUUUUUUUCGUUAAUUUUUAUUUAUGCAUGAAUAUUUAGUUAUAAUUUUUGUUAAAUUUUUAGAUUAUUUUCUAUCCUUCGUAUGUUUGUUUAUUGUCGUUUGUAAUUUUUUUUACUUGUAUUUUUUUUUGUUAAUUGUUUUUUGACGCAUGAAAUGUGUAAUCUAUUACCGUAAAGUAUAUAAGAAUAGUCAUAUCUCUUUCAAGUCGCGUCAUGUGAACUGCAAUAAGAAAUUAUAAAACCUUGUUAUCAUUUUUGUUGCUUCAUUCUCUUGAAUUUCCUGAUAUGCGAAAAAUGUAUUGGAGUUUGCUUUUUAAAAGUUCUAAAGCUCAAUUUUUUUGUAAGAUUCCAUAGUCAUUUAACGAUUUAAUUAAUUUUUAUUGUAAGUUUUUCAUUUUUUCAUUUUUUUCUUUUUUUCAGUGGGACCAGAUUCUUGUAAUAUCAGACUAUCUUCCUACUUUUUUCCAAAGCUUGUUCAAUAUCUGUGAUUGUAACUAUAUUUUUUCUUUUGUUGGAUUUCUGUAACUUUUUUCCCUAAUACUUUGUAAAAACACAAGGGGAUAUGCAAUAAUAAACUUUUUAUGAUACAUUUUUUCUACAAAUACCAUCUCUACGUGUCUAUUUU
rnacentral:lncRNA from 1 species